UUUUUUUUUUUUUUUUUUGUUUCUUACCAUUUCAUAUACAGCCAGGAUGUUGGUAUUCUCUUCCAUGGUUGAACUAAUUGAUUAAGAAUAUAAAACAACUCACAAAAUAUUUAUGAGAGAAAAAAAAAACCAAAAAAAGGAUGCACUUGAUAUUCAAUUUGAUUUUUUUUUUUUUUAAGAAACAAAAACUCUCUUGUUGCUCAUGUAUUUUUUUCUUUAAUCCAAAGAAAAUAAAUUGAAAGAAAAUUAAAAACGAAUAAAAAAACCAGUUUCUUGACAACAAUACCUCAAUUCCCAUGGCCUGGUGGUUAUACAAGGGAUCCAAAGCAGUGGCAAUUGUAUUUAGAUUUUGGCCGUGUGCUACCAGUUGCAAGGGAAAAUCUGAACAAUGUUCAUUAUUUGUUGUUUUCUACAAGUUAGAAGGGGAAGCAUGGCAAUGGCGGUUUUUAGGGUUACUAUUGACUAGAAUGAAUUUGGAAAUUUUAGGUUUCUGCUUUUUGAUUUGUUUUUUAUUAGAUAUGUUUUUCUUUGAAAGUUCAAAUAUCCUUUACAUUAAUUAUAUACCAACUUUUGAGUUUUAGACCUAAUUAUGCAUCUUUCAUACUCUUUAGGCCCAUUUAACAAAUGAUUGCCACCCCCUAAAAAUAUUGCAUUUUAUUUCCACAUUGAGUGAUGUCACGAAUGGGGAACUAUAGCAUACAAAACAGAAGUCUUUGUGAAGGGACUGGAAGAAAAGGUUGAUUUGCAUCCUAGAGAUGAAAAUGGAAAUAACACUAAAAGAAGUAGUAAGCACUAUGAUGGGUGAUUUAAGCAUGAAGGAUUUGAGAGUGCGGAAAAGUUGGGAGUGGAGAUGGAGCAUAUUUCAUCAUCUUGUCUAUUUGGGAACAUGGAGGAUGUUCUUUGUGGCUUUCCUUGAGUGUAUAUGUGCAUGCUGAUGAGAGUGAAGGCAACUAUUUUGGAAGGAGUUAUAUGCAAUUUGGGGUUAUGGGGACCUUUUGUGCAUUAAAGGAUUAUUUUAAUUUCGUUCACUUCUCUGAUGGAAGAUUAAGCUGUAACAGAACUUUAGGUGCAAUGGGAAGACUUUUGGAGUUCAUUAAGAUUUAUGGAUCAUUGAAUACGCUAGAAGAUGGAGCAUAUGGGCUAAUGACCAAGAAAGGAUGACUAUAUCCUGGAUUGAUGGGUUUCUUAUCUCAGCAGAUUGGGGAAAGGAUUGUUCGUAUUUGACUCAGUAUAUUCUUCGUAGACCAGUUCUGGACCAGAUCCCAUCAUAUUGGAUUGUGGAGGGUUAAGAAGAGGAAGAGUUAUUCCUAACUGGUGCUGUAUGUGCCAAAUGUUGGAAAGAGUGUUUAUCACUUAUCACUGCAUCAUGAGGUGUCCAAGGAUUAAUGGUUAAUGGUGUUUGUAGUCUUUGUGUGCCUCUGGUGCUUCCAAGAACCAUAAGAUAGCCGAUUUCCAGUUGGAUGGUAAGUUUGCUAGAAGGGGAAGGCAGAAAGUGUGAAGCCUUCAUAAUGCGUGGUCUACUGAUUUGAAAGGGCAUAACAGAGGAAUGUCUGAGAGAGUUGAAAAAAAUGGGACUGGAGGCUAAAUAUAUUAUGCUAUGAUUUUUACAUGUUUGGAUGGUAGAAUGUAGCAUACACAGGAGGAAUUCCAUUUUAUAUUUUAUUGAAAAUGGGUUAAAAAAUGAAUAGUGUUGGGAGUUUUUGGCCUUUCUAUGUUGUUUUUAUUUUCUCUAUGUUUUCCUUUUGGGGUUUCAGCUGGUGGAAGCUUGUAUAUAUUUUGUAUUUCUGGUUCCAUCCUGUUGGCACCUUUCUAUGAUAUAUCUUUUACCAGCAAAAAUAGUGUCAAAGACUUUAUCUAGUCAUGGUUUAUUGAGAUGCACAAGAGUGCAGUGGGUUGUAUUCCUUUAAUAAUUCAGGUUGGCUUUUCAAACUUCUGUGGUAUGGAGCCUAUUGUUUGAUUUCUUCAGCCUCUUGUUUUUAUGAUAUUGGUUUACAAGAAAUAGCAAAAUUAACACUUUCUAAGAUUCACGUUACUUUGCAGGUUUUCAAGAGUGGACCACUUUUUAUAUCAUCAAAAGGUGUGCCUUUCUUCUUCAGUGGUGUAUCCGAUUAUUUUUAUUUUAAUUCAUUGCUAAAUUUGAAAGCACUGCUGGUUGUAAAUGUGUGGUGACUUCUACUGUAAAUUUGCAAUGUCAUGUUUUACUUUAUUUUUUCUGUACAUUUGGAUUGCUUGGAUAUACUUUAUCAAAAAAAAUUUCAUGACAUGUAAGGGCAGUUAUGCCCUUGCCCUUAUGUUGAUUUCUUAUAUAAUAUCAAAAUUUUCUAUUCUUUCCAGAUCUGCUCACAGAAUAUUCUUUGUGAGGAGUAAAUUUACUUCAAGGAUUCUAAGAUUCAUCAUGUACCAUUGUUGUGAGGAAUUGACUAUAUCUGAACUUGCUAUUUAAUUCUUGUUAUAUAGGAAUUGGAUGGACAUCAUGGAAGAAAAGGUGGUUUAUUUUAACACGUACAUCGUUGGUUUUCUUUAGAAGUGAUCCAGUAAGUACUUCCAUUUCUAGUCUUUUAUAUCUAAGAUAACUGUCUCAAGAUUAUAAUAUUUUAUUUUUAUUUUCACUGUCUUUUAUUAAAGUGAACUGCUUUAUUAGAGGUGACACUAGAUCUUCUCCAUUUCUAGUUUCUAAGACUACGAGGAUACAUUGAUUUACUAAGACACCAGCUUUUCUCCUUCACCUAUUUUCUAGACUAAGUAUAUUAUAAAGAUGGUCUAGAGUGUUGUUGGAGCAAUCUUGUUUGUUGGAAGGAGAAAGGAUGAAGCAAUAAGUGUCAUUUUUUGUGAUGAUGUCAUUGGCAGUGGUUUUCAACUUCUAGGGGGAUGGCAUUGUUGUCUUUCUCAAGCAAGUGAUUGAUAUGCAAAGAGAGUGUAGAAACUUAUUUAUUGGUUGAUGUUUCUUCUUUUCUUUUCCUUUUUUUUCUUUCUUGGCUUUCCUGUUGAAAUUUUGCAUUGUUUUGUUUGAACUUUGUUGAAGGGUAGAGAAUUCAUCUCAUAUUUCCAUAUUUUCUGCAUGAGAUCACAAGAAGCCUGGAACAGUUAAAAAAGAAUGAAAUAAAUCUUGAGGAAAAUAUUCCAAGGCUAUCUCCUACAAUCUCUUUUACACUCUCCCAUGAUCUCAAGAAUCCCCCAUAAGUUGGAGAGUAGAUAUUAGCAACUUUCAGCUUGUCAUAAAAUAGUGAGGUUUUCGUUAGGAAAAGCUUUGGUAAAGCUGUCAACCGGUUGUUUCUUUGAUGAUACAAAUAGAAUAACAUUUUCUUUUAAGGUCAUUUUGAAGUGAAUGAAGUAAAAAUCUACUUCAAUGUGUUUUGUUCUUUCAUCAAAAAACAGAUUGCUGGCAAUAAAAGAUGAGUACCUGAUUGUAGAGAGAAGUNNNNNNNNNNNNNNNNNNNNNNNNNNNNNNNNNNNNNNNNNNNNNNNNNNNNNNNNNNNNNNNNNNNNNNNNNNNNNNNNNNNNNNNNNNNNNNNNNNNNACCGGUCAUUGAACUAGAAAAGUUAUUGAUCCAUAGUUCAAUGGUUAGAUCAUGGUUGAACCAUGGUCGAAUCGGUGAUGUUAUAAAUAUAUAAUAUAUAUGUAUUAUUAAAAUUAAAAAUAAUUAUUAAAAUUACAAAAUAUAAUUUAUGUAUUAUUAAAAUUAAAAAUAAUUAUAAAAAAUUACAAAAUAUAUAAAUAAUUAAAAUUUUUAAAUACAUUUCAUCAUUUAAUCAUCAUUAAUCGCUUAAAAUUAUGAUAAGAAUAACAGAAAUAUUGAUUAAAUUAUUAGUAUUUUUAAUUUUAAUAAAUAUGUAACUUUUAAUUAUUAAGAUAAAAUAUGAUUUUAUUGUUUAAAUUUAUUUUGGAUUUCAAUAGCUAUAAAUCUUGUUAUCUUUAAAAUUACUAAUUCUUUUCUUUAUAUUACCUUGAUAUAUAUUAUAGGUAAAUCAUAAAUAUUUAUAUUCAUUUUAAUUUAAUGUAUAUCUAGUUUUUAAAUGCUAUACUUUUGAAAUAUGUAAGUAUAACAUGGUGGACUUGAUUUUGCAUCCUUUGAGCCUAGGUUCAAAUCCUUUGUUUAUAUGCAUUUUCUUCUUAAAAAAAUAAAAGUAUUGAUCCUACAUUGGAAAAGUAGGCUACAACUUAUUAGCUACUAGUUUGGUUUGUUUGUUGGGCCAAUAGUUUGGGCUUUAAAGUGGACCCUUGGACGUUAGAUCUUAGCAUGGGUUUUGAGAAAAAAAAAGCCUAGCCCAAGAAUCAACCGAUCUGGCUCACCGGUUUAGCAGUUAAACCGUUGGGUGGACUAGUUCAACUCAUAUCUAGUCCAAUUGGUGAACUAAACUGGAUCGGGUUCUGGUCGGCAAUUGAACUGUUUGAACCGGCUAGUCUAGUCCAGUUUUCAAAACAUUGUUUCUUACAAAAGGCUUUUCAAUUAGGUUAAUUGCCAUUGUCAGAUAUUCUACCUUUAUAUUUGAACAAACUACAAUUGAUUAUUUCUUGCUUUUCCAAUUUAUGAAAUUACCUUUAACAAAAAUGCAAUAAUCAAUUGUUGCAUGGGAAGAUCUUGUGCAAUCAAAGUCUUUGUUUUCCUCAAUACAAAGAUGUUUCAAGGAUCGAUAAAGAAGAUCGCUGCAUAGGAAUUCCCUUGAGACAUUUCAAAAUUCAUAUUACUACAUUCAAGUGAGAAACCCAUGAACUGGUCAUUGAUUGAUUGACAAUGCUGAUUGCCUAAUAAAUAUCUGGCUGACUAAAGGUUCAACAAAUUAGUUUUUUACCACAAGUCUUAUUUACUAAUUCACCAUUGUUUAUCAACUUUUGAUUGGUUUUGAUGAGUGUAGCAAUAGGUUUAACAACAAGAUAACCAAUAUCUCUCAAAAAAUAGCAAAUAGGUUUGACAAUAAGAUAACUGGUAUCUCUCAAAAUAUAAAGAGUAUGAGAUGAGCAAAUACCUUUCUUUGAUCUUGCAACUUCAUUACUUGGAAAAUCACGAAGUUUACCAAGAUCUUUAGUGCAAAUGCAUCUGAAUCCCCUUUUGUUUACCUUCAAUAACGAUAUCUUAUGCAUGUAUUUCUAGAUUAGAAUUUCGUGGUCUGUCUUUUUGCAAAACACAGAAUGAUCAACUUGACUUCUGGUCAUGCCAUGAGAUACUACUACUUUCUGAAUUUUUCAAACUAUGCACAAGGAGAUUAUUUGAGUCCAUAAAUAGACUUUUUUUAGUCGAAAAGCACACUCCUUGGCCUAAGAACCAGUUUGUUGAACUAUGAGCAUUGUUUCAUUCAAGUUGCCAUGAAGGAAGACAUUUUUGGCAUUAAGUUAAUGAAAAGGCCAAUUUAUAUUUGCUAUAAUAGAGAUAUUCAUGCAAAAUUCAGUUUGGUCAUAAUAAAGGCUCUUAGUAAAGUUAAGGCUGUAAGUUUGAAUGAAUCCUUUAUACACCCAUCGAGCCUUCAAUUUGUCAAAUGUAUUAUCAAGGUUGUGUGUUAUGGUACAUACUCGAUGACAAUCAACAUGUGGAGCUUCAAAAUGCUUAGGAACAAGAUCUCAGGUAUGAGUCCAUUCUAUUGUGGGCAUUUUCUCUUUGUUUCUCUCUCCCAUCUAGGAUUAGAAAAACUUGAUUGCAUUACUUAGGAAGAGUAAUAGAAGAGAGGAAGGUAGACACGAUUGUGAAAGAGGGAGACAAGUGGAUUAUAAGAGAUAAGUUUAGAAAGAGAAUUUUAGUACAUGUACAUGUAACUUUACAAACAACAUCAAAAGUAGGAUUUGGAGAUAUCCAUGGAAAUGGUAGAGGUGACAAAAGGGUAUAUAAAAGUAUAUAUGGCGUAUAUAAGGCACCAUUGACCAAAAAAGGCAAAAGGGGCACAAAAAACACCACCUUUGCCUUGCUUAGAGUUUAACCAAUCAAUAAAAUCUAUUAGAGAGAAUUGCUUGCUCCUUGUUUUCAAUGUUUUUGAAAGCUCUUCUAUUUCUUUUUUUCCAUAUCAUCAAAACUAAACACAAUGAAGCUGCUCUCCAUGCUUUCCUAGUCUUCUUACAUACCAAGGAUUCGUGCCUACUUUGAAGGACAUCCCUGAUCGAGGAUAGCAUCACCCAUUAAGCACCAAACAAAGCAUGAAGUAAGUUCCAUAGCAUGACUACUUUGGGACAAUGAAAAAGGAAAUGAUCCACUGUUUCUUCCUCUCCUUUGUAGAAAUAACACCUACUCAGCAACCUCCAAUAACUGAUCUAAAGUCAAAAUUCUUCCCCAAGAAGCUUCCUAAGCAAAAAAGUUGACCUUCAUUGGGAUGCAAGGGUUUUACAUGAUGCCGAAUAUGAAAUCCUCCAUUCCAAACUUAUUAAAGAGGAAUAAAAGGUUUUAAUUGUAAAUUUGCCCUCUUUGAGACCUUGUAAUCUCUUAAAAGGAGCCUCCAUCUCUCCUAAUUCCUAGUCAUUAUUUUGUCUUGUAAACAAAGGAUUUAAACAACCUCCUUCACCUCUUUGCUCCCACAAUUAGUCAACCCAAGCCUCUUUUAUAGAGGCUAUAGAGAACCAUUUAGGAAAAGCCUUUUCUAGAUUCUCAUCACCAUACCACCCAUCUUUCCAAAAUUUCACCUUUCUAACAUUUUCCACCUUAAACACACGCUUUAAUUAAAUCCGUCCCUCUUGCUCUUCAUAUAACUUCAUAACCUCACACUAUAACUAUCCCUUGAAGCUCUUGAACACCAACCUCCCUCUUCUACACUUUACUUCCAUAUAAUCAUAUGCUUCCAAAGGGACUCAUUCUUAGAUGCAAAUCUCCCACAUCAUUUUCCAAAGAGUGCCUUUUUAGAAUUGAUAAUUUUCUUAUGCUCAAACCCCCACUUUUUUUCUCCAUCCACACUAUUGACUAGUUCACCAGUGAUGGACCCUUCUUUGAGGCUCACUUCCUCCUAUAAAAAGAUUUUUUGAAUCUUUUCCAAUCUUAAACUCACAUUGCAUUGGAUAAUCAAUAAAGACAUGAAGUAAUUUGGUAAGCUUAAAAGGAUGCUUUUAAUCAAAGUCAGUCUUUCUCCUUUUGACAAGUACUAUCUCUUCUACGUAAUGAGUCAUUUUUGAAAUCUUUCCUCCACUAUGUCUCAUUAUGAUUUAAAAGGAGCUUCUAAAGGAAGGCCCAGGUAGGUGGUGGGUAGGAAACCUACUCUACAACCUAGCAUUCCAGCUAGUUCCUUUAAAUCAAUAACCUCUUCCAAUAAGAUCAACUCAUUCUUUUCCAUAUUAAUUUUCAAACUUGAGAUUGCUUCAAACCACAUGAAAGCCCAACUCAAUUACUUCAUAUGCUUUUUGCUAGAAUCAUAAAAAAAAAAUGCAGGAGAGCAUCCCCAUGAAAAAGGGGUCACCUUGUCUUGAGCCUCUAGAGUUCUGGAAGAAGCAUAUUGGGGUCUUAUUAAUCAAAAACUGAAGAGUGAGCCAAAAAGACGCGUCAUUUCAUUCAUCGUAUCCACUUAGCACCAAAUCCCAUUUUUCCAUAAUUACUAGCAGGAAGCCCCAAUUCACUUAAUCACAAACCUUUUUAAUAUCCAUCUAACAAAUUACUUUGCUCUUUGAACCUUUUAGUCUUGAAUUAAUGGCUUUGUUUGCUAUAAACAUUGCAUCCAAAAUGGGGAGUCUUAGCAAACGCAUGUUGGAAAUUGGAUAUCACUUUUCCUACAUUUUAUUUAUUUAUAUUUUUUAUAGUGGAUUAGCUUAAAAGAAUGUAAAUAAGGCUCAUGUAGGUGAAGUUUAAAAGUAGCCCUAUGAUGUUUGUUGAGCUCACAGGUUUCAAUGUUAAAAUAAAUAAAAGAAGGUGAAGUAGGAAUUAAUCAAUGGAGAUUAGAAAAGAAAAAAGUGACCAAGAUGACAAUAUAUAAUGGUCGGAAGUGAUAAAGUUCAUCCUUUCCAAAUCCCAUAUCAAUUGUCCUUUUUAUCCUUAGAUCUAGAGAGACACAAUGUAGAGGAUAAUACAUUACUAAACAAUUUAAACCAUAAAGACAUAAUGUAAAGGAUAAAAUUUUAGUAAAUAGUUUAGGUUAGGGACAAGUUUACAAAAAGACAAUAACUUUAAAGGGAAACUAAGGAUAUAUAAAUCAAACAAGCAUAUAAAAUAAGAUUUUCUAAUUGAUUUCAUCCCAUGAAUAAGUGAUUUAGAACUGUUAGCAACAAUAACAAAGGAUGGAGAUGAAAGAAGAGAAAGUUUGGAAAAAAAAUAAGCCAUUACCCACAUUGGAUAUAGGGUUGAGGAAUGAAGACUAGUACUACUAAAAUCACCUAAAGUGGUAGUAGCUAAUGAUAGAAGAUAGUUAGGCUCAUUUUAUUUGAUUUGAGUUAGAAAGCGAAGAGUGAUUCUUUGGUUGGCAUGUUGUUACCCAUGGUGUCCAAGAAGAAAUUGAAUUUUAAGUAAAUUGGACAUGCAAGAGAUGAACAAAAAAUGUGUAAAAAAAAGCAGCAAGAGAAGGAGGCUUUGAGAUGUAACAACUGGGUAACAAGGAAGGAUGGUGGCUUAAAUGUGAAGGGUGAAGGCUUAGGCUUAAAGGGUGAAAGAAGAUGCUGGCAGAAUUAAGGAUGAAAGGGUGGCAGCUCCAAGGCAACCAUGUCUCAAUAUCCUGUUGAAGGAAAGAGAAGUCAGAAUUCAUCUCAUAUUUCUAUAUUUUCGGAAUGGGGUUACAAGAAUGUUUAUAAGCCUAUAAUAGUAAAAGAAAAAAAAAAAUCUCGAAGGAAAAUAUUCCUACAAUCUCUCCUAUAGCUUUGCCUACCAUCUUCCUAUAAUCUUGACAAACCUCUUACUUAAUUUAAUAGUUGGAUAUCAGUCUUGAUAAGCAUAAAAUUAUUCACUAAUUAGCAUAGUAAAUCAUACAAACUCACAACAUUUCAUGCAUAAGAGCACCUUAUUCACCAUUUUUUAUCAAUAAAAGGUGCCUUGAUUAUUUUGUGAGUUUUGCAAGAAAAACAAAGGCGAAAGGUGACCAAAACGAGGCACUUUGGAAAGGCCAGUAACCUAGAAGGAAGAUGGAUUGAUACCCCCUUGUUUCCUCUUCAAAAGCCACCGAGAAAAUGCAAGAAAUGCUUGUUUGCUAGGCUGACCGUUGGGUUGCCCAUUAGGCUAGCCUAGCAAACACUAAGUUCACUAGGCUAAUUAUCUCAUUGACUGAGAUGACCACUUAGUUCUUUUCUGUUAUAAUUCAACUAUCAUGUUUUAAAUUUUUUUUUCCAAUUCAAUGCAAAGUCAUUUUCAUUUUCAGUCAAUGUUGGGAAUAUUUUGAUUUUCAUUUUUAGUUGAUGCAUAGUUGUUUUUCUCUUCACGUCCAGUUCAUUUCCUGUAGAAAAUGCUUCUUCGCUUGAGUCUAUUGUUAGUUGAGUAAAUGAGGGAAUUAGGUGAGGUGAGUGAGUGAUUUUUCUUUUUCACCUAGUCUAAGGUACAGAGCCACGAUUCUUGAGGUUGAUUUGGGUUAGUUAAGGCAAGGAAAAUUGCUUUAUUGCUGUCAUCAUAUGCUGCUACUGCUUGAAAAUGUCUUGAGUGGAUUCUAGAUGGUGGAGUGAUAUCCAAGAUACUGAGCCUUUAGGUAGUUAUGCCCAAGUCUCUUUUAGAACCACUUGGAUUAACCAAAAGGGUGAAAACCUUUCUAGUGGCAUUGGUCAUAGACAUGGGUCACAAUAUUUAUAUUGCAAAGAGACAAGGUAAUGAAGGCAGUAACUCUUUCUCCUUCUUUAAUUUUCUCUUUGAUUAAUUUUCAAUCAAUUGAUUCCUUAUUUUCAUUACUAAAAUUCAGAGAACUUUCUCCUUUGUUUUCUUUAACACACCAUAGUUUCACUUUUCCUUUUCAAGAGUCAAAGUAGUAUUCCAAGCCACUAAAAACAACUCACUAUCCCUGUGAAUAAAUGACACUCAGAUCUCUUUCCAACUAUAUUGCAAUCGUGGUUCUUGUACUUGGGAACUGGAUUUGUAGAUAUUUGAUACUUUUUGAUACUAUAUUGCAAUCAUGGUUCUUGCACUUGGAAACUUGAUUUGUAGAUAUUUGAUACUUUUUUAGGAAAAAUAGAAAAGCUAACAAACUUUGCACUCUCACGCAUCAACACACUCCUUAAAAAAAAAUGGACAAGCAAGCCUUAGUAUUGGACUUCUUCUUAUAUACUUUUCUAGUACAUAAUUUUUUGGUUUAAUACAAUAAUUUUAAAUUGGAGAAUCUGAAUAAUCUUUUCUGAAAUGAAGUAAAUAAAAUUUCAUAGUUGGUAAGGAGCUCUCCAGAACAUUGGCCUCUCUACUUGCAGGUUUCCUUCCAUAAUUUCAAAUAAUCUGAAAACACCUAUUUCUCAGAAUGAUUUGGUCAUGCAUAGACUGUGAUUUGGCACUAUCAAACCUUUGAGUCUAAAAUUUACAGGUGAUGAAGCAUUCCACACCCAGCUCAAUUGCCUAAAUAUAGGCUCAGCUUUUAUGUAGAGACAAUUAUGGUAUAUAAAGUAAUACUUGAACAAGUAUACCCCAACGAUUGUGGUUUAUAUCAAUUUUUGUUUUGGACGUCAGUUGUAUUUUAUUUGAUGAUACUCUUUUUCAAGCUCUAUCUUUUUCCAUGCUUGUUGCAUUUUUAAGGUUUUAGAAGGUUACAUAUGCUACUAUUUCUCUUUCCAGAGUGCUAUUCCUCAAAAGGGUAGUGAGGUGAAUUUGACCCUUGGUGGUAUUGACCUCAACAAUUCAGGCAGGUUGGCUUGCUUCUUUAAAUUCACAUUUAUUUAUUACUGGCUUUCUGUUUAGAACUAUUGCCAUGACAGAAAUCAAGCGUUUGAUUCACCUCUUAAUACUUCCUUCAAACAAUUUUCUAGUGUGGAUGUCAAAGCAGAUAAAAAACUCUUGACUGUGCUCUUUCCUGAUGGUCGUGAUGGGCGAGCUUUCACACUCAAGGUCCUUUUGUUUGUUUCUUGAAAUGUUUUAUAUUUUCAUUUUUGUUUUCUCUUAUUUAUUUAUGUUUUUUUUGUUUAGAUUUGUGUGCAGAACUGCUCGCUGACUAGGAAAAAUUCAUGCUUUUGGUUCUUUUACCUUUACAGUGCAGAAUGGUGGUUUAAUAUUUGUUAUUGUUAUUGCUUCACUAGAUUUUAUUGGUUUUUUAAUUAAAUAGGUCAAAAUCUGGAGUGCGAUUGUACACAUCUAGAGUAACAUAAAAUGCUUUGAUGGAACACAUUGCUCAUAAAAGUGGAAACAUAUCAAAGCUUCAAUUUUACUUUGGAGAUCUUCCAAACUGCAUCAGUUUACAUGGAUCAUGAGUCAUUGUAUUUGUGACAGGUCUAACAGGCUUGAAUAGUAGGAACACCAAUCUUGCUGUCAAGCUCAAAUAGUUGGGAAUUGGGAUAAGGAAUUGAUUUUUUAUCAGAUUCUUUUUCUUUUGUUUUACUUUAUUUAUUUAUUUUCUUUUUCUUCGCUCAAGUAGUUAAGAUGAUGCCAAGGAGCCAAGGUGCUUUGCUGGUACUACUUGGAUCGUUAUGAGAAAUAUAUUCCUAGUAGAUGAUAUUGGAGAGGUCAAAAUGUUAGAAUCUAGGUCAAGUCAAAUAGAUUUUUUCAAUGAAUGAAUUAAAUCUUCAUCUGAGACAAGUCGAGCCAGGUAAAAGCUUACAAGGAUCUUAUUAAGACUUUGUUUACAUGGUUGGGUGGGGAUUGGAUUUCCUUGUUUAUCCUUUUUAGACAUUGUUGGAAGUAUGAGGGUUGGUUAGCUUUAUAGUGGUUUUGUUUUUUGAUUUGUGUGUGCUACUCAUAUUUAUUGUGUGUACAUAGUUUGCACUUCUUUUUUGCUAGGCACUUUUAUUUUAUUAUCUUUAUUUGCCCACGAGGAAAAAAAAAACCUAGAAAGAAUCAGUGCAUUAAAUCACAAUCCAGACAAACUCAUUUGGGAUUUCUUGCCUCGUCUUGCCUCUUUAUUCUCUUAAAAUGGAUGGAUGCAAUGCCUAAUCUACAUUGAGAUUCUGAACUCUGAAAAUAGUUUGGAUAGAAGACCAUAAAUUUGUUGGCCAUACAUAUGCGCAUAGUCACAUUCCCACACACCAAGAUGCUUGAUGUCUCAUGAUAUUUCUCACAAUAUUUUAUGCAUGUAUAUCUUGCUUCCCAUAAUUCUGGUUUCAUUCUAUGUUGUUGGGAAAACAAUAUACCUCCAUAUUUGUCAUUCUUUUGAAAGUAACUUAUGGACUAUUGCAGUCUAAUUGAACACUUGUAAUGAAGGCAUGUAUGGUUUUCUAAUGGUCCUGAGGGCCUGGUCAAAUGGCAAGGGGUUGGGGUUGGGGUGGGAUUGGGACUCGUAAGAAAAAAAUGAACAUGUUUUGUAAGCAAAGUUUCCGGAGGCAAACUUUUGCAAAUGAGAAAUAGAGGGGGAAAAUUAGUAUUGUGUGCCUUCUGAGAAGUUUAGUGUAGGUGGAGAGAUCAUCGAGAAAAAGUGGCAAAAACCUAGUGGAAUUUAAUAGCCUCAGGACUAAUAUCUCAAGUGUAGGAGUUUUGCGAGGGAAGAAUAAUAAAUGGAUGGGAAAGGCAUUAAUGUGUAUCUUUAUUCCUCUUGGAUGGCAUUUUUGUGCUUUAUUCAAAUGGGGAAACUUUGAAAGUUGGGGAAAACCUAGAAACCAAAAACCCUCUGAAAAAAAAGUGUGAAUGAGGAGGAUUAUGAGGCCAAAUUGUGGCUUUCCCAUGCAAUUUUCAAAAUCCUUUUAAUGAAAUGGUCUGGUUAUAUAAUUUGAUUUUUCCUUAUCCGCUGCUAUCAUAUGCUUUCCCUUUUUUUUUUUUUUGGUUUCUUUUGGGCUGCAGGCUGAAACUUUAGAGGAUCUAUAUGAGUGGAAGGCUGCACUUGAAAAUGCUUUAUCACAGGCACCAAGUGCUGCCUUGGUGAUGGGGCAAAAUGGAGUCCUCAAGAAUGAUCAGGCUGAGGCAGUUGAUGGUUCUACUGAACAGUGUAUGCUCUUCUUGAUUAUAGUCAUCUUUCACAUGUAUUGACUUGCUACUGUAUUCUGUGACUAUGCUGUAGUUCCUGUGUGUAAUUUGUCAGUAUAGCUUCAUGAUAAGUUAUUAGCAUACGUAGCGUGAUAAAUAAGAGAAUGUAUUAAAAGCACAACUAGUGCACGCGAGUACACAAAACGUAUACAAUGAACACCAAGAGGCAAAACAAAAAAGAGGGGUAACAAAAAGCUACUCCCCUUUUCAACAAGAACCUAACCAAUCUACAAAAUCAAUUGAAGGCAUUGUGCUUCCAUCUAUGUACACUUUAAUCCAUAGAGAUAGGUUGUUAAGGAUAGAGCUUUUAAGUCUUUGAUUUGACAUCUCCUCAUUUUCAAACAAUCUUUGAUUUUUUUUUUUCCUUCCAAAUAGUCCAAAAAACACACAAGUGAGUGACUCUUCAAGCCUUCUUUCGCCUACUACCCACAAAAGAGCCAUGCUACCCUAGGAGAGUCUUCCUAACCAAGGUAGAAAUAACCCAAGGAAUAUUGAAUAAUGAGAACACCAAUUGCCAUGAAAUCCUAGACUUAUCACAAUGAAAGAAGAAUGUGAUUAAUGGAUUCUACCUCCUCUUUGCACAUAACACAUUUGUUGAUUAACAAACAAUCUUUUCUUUGGAGUUGGGACCAAAGUCAUCACCUUAUCUGAACAAGCCUCUAAAGUAAAAAAGCUUGCCUUAGAAGGAAUCUAGGAGUUCCAAAUUAUCCGUAAUGUAUAAGAGAUGACACAAUUCAACUCCCAAAGAGAAUAAAGGGCUUUUACAAAGAAGCUCCUUUUGCUAUAACCCUUCCAAACUAUUCCAUCCUUCUCACCCCUAUUCCUUGUCUGUCCUUGAGUUUAAACAAAAAACACUCCACAAAAUCCAACUCCCAAUCAUUUAGAUUCCCUUGCGAAACGGAAGUUUAAAUCUCAUCUUUCUCCCUAUCCUACCAAUUGGGUUUUUUUUUGGUUUCUUUUUAUUGCAAUUUUAGGGCAGAAAUGGAUAGACUGGAUUAAGUGGUGCAUUUUUAUGACCAAUUUCCUUAUUUUGGUAAAUGGUUUCUCCUAUGAGCUUUUUUUGAAGCUCUAUGAGGUUGAGACAAGGGGACCUCCUUUCUCCAAUGGAGGCUCUUAGUAGUUUGCUUUUGAGAGCCAGAGAAGGAGGUUUUCUCAUUGGUUUUAAGGUGGGGGGAAGAGAGGAGGAGGGGUAGGAAAUUUUUCAUAUUCUCUUUGAUGAUGACACUAUUGUUUUUUGUGGGACUUCUCAAGGGCAAGUCAUUAAUUUAUGUUGGUUCUCAUCUGCUUUGAUUCCAUUUCAAGGACAUAAAUUUAGAGAAGAGGGAGAUCAUUCCAAUAUGAAGUGACAUUUGAACUGUUCUCCUAUGAUUGCAACUUAUAUAUAUUGAGAUCUUGACUGACAUCUCAUUUGGGAUGUUUUCAUUUUUUGCUUCAGUUAUAAAUUGAAGCCAACGCCAUAAUUGCAAAAGAGCAAUCUGGUAUGAUGAAAGCUUAAUUAAACAUAAAACAACUUCAUGUAUAAGCUAAAAGUGGGCUUCUAACAAAAGCAAUGCUAUCCUGGAUUUUACAUUAACUUUUUUUUUAAACUAUAAGCUCUUUUGGUAAAAUUACCCAAACACAUCCAUAAGUUGUGAGCUUAAAAGAUCUUUUGGUUUCUCAAAACCAAUCCAAAUAAGGUCUUAGAAAGUGUUUGAUAAUUUAACUUAAUGACUUAAUAAGUUAAGUCAUUAAGUAGAUUAAUCAUGUUUGGUAAAAUAAAUUAAUAUCAAAACAUAGAGUAAAAAAUAACUUUAAGUAUCAAGUUAAAAUAGUUAACUUAUUUCUAAUCUCAAAUCUCAUUUGUCUUAUUUGUCUUAUUUGCGCAUGUUUAGUGAGAGUAUAUUUUAUAAUCAUGAUUUUACAUUUACAUCUCAUAUUUUAUAGCAAAUCUGUUUGUAGUUAUCUUUUAUGCAUCUAUGAUAGUUUAAAUAUGGAUGUUUAACAAAUAAAUUUAUUGCUUAAGAUUAGUGAAAGGAUAAUUAUUAGUAAAAAUUAAUGAGGGUAAUAUGUCAAUUUGAUGAUUUAGAAUAAAUUUUAAGUUGACUUAAGUCAUUAAAUAAUAAGUAUUAAAUUUUACCAAACACUCUCUUAGUUUUUUUAAUCAAUAUGCAGUAAUUAAUUAUGAAUGGAAAUAUUGAUAACUUGUCACUGCUUAUUGUUGUAUUCAUAUCCUAUGAAAUGGAUUGGUCUGUUUCUAGUCGAAGGAAAAAAAUGUUGAUGAAAUACAAGAGAAGGAAAAGAAAAAUGUUUUCUACUAUUAAUACAUUUCUCUUCGUUUUUUGAUAUAAAAAAAUGUUGAUGACUACAGUUUCAUUAAACAGCAGCAUGAUUCAACUAGUGAAUUACUGAAUUUUAUUUAACAAGUCAUUUAAUCAAGUGAGAAACUCCUGGGUGUAAUUUAACAAUCUUUGGGCAGCAGACUGGAUUUUCUAUUGUAAUGAGUGUAAUUCCUUAUUUCUUUUAGCAUGUUAAGCUUGAUACAAUUUUCUUUGGUUUUCCUUCAACUCUUCUAUUAUUAGUAUCAGAUAUGGUUUGUUUAUUGAGCAGUUCAGGUUAUUUUGUGGACCAGAAUUUGGGGUCUGAAUCUUUUUGAUGUGAAUAUGAUCAUUUUACAUGUCAAAUUUGGAUAGGUUGCUUGCUUUGGUUUUUUCUUCACUUAAUUAAGAAUUAAAAUUUUUCUUGUAUUUCUUUUAUAGUGAAGGAUAAGUUGCCUGCGAAGUCCUCGGUCCUUGGUAGGCCAAUUUUACUUGCUUUGGAAGAUGCUGAUGGUACUCCUUCUUUCUUGGAAAAGGCCCUUAGAUUUAUAGAAGAACAUGGUAAGGGCUUCUUCCAAUGUGUGUUUCUAGAUUGUUUCAUGGUGACUUUGAUGAUAUACAAGUGUGAUAUUACUUUUAACAUGCAACUUCAGUGGAGGGUUACUUCCCAAUGCAUAUUCUAUCUGCUGUAUAGCAAUAUCCUCCUGGUUUUCUAUUGAACACAUUUAUUUAGACUCAGAACAAUUUUCUUUAGGCCUGUCUUACUAGAGACAUUUCAAUUGCAAACGGAUAUUAUGAUUGCCAGAUCACACUUCCAGUAAUUGUUCUGUAACUGGUUAUUGUACUGUGAUUUAUACCCAGGAAAUUCAUCUGCAUAUGAAUCUACAUGAAAUUUUCAUUAACUACCAUCUCAGAUGUCACAUAUUGUGAAAUGAAUGAUACAAAAGGUUUACCAUAGAACGAUCAAUGGCAGAGCAACUAUUUCUACAUUACGUGUUUGGUAAAACUUCUUGUUGCGUUGAAGGUGCAUAUCUCUUUGUCAAUGCAUUUCUUUACAAUCUGGCUUUAAUGGAAAGUAGACCAGGUAAUAAGGGGAAGAGAAAGAAAUUAUAAAGCAGAACAAGUCCAACGGAUUAGAAAUAUACCCCAAAAAUGUGAUGGUCCUCUGAUAGCUAGUUUCCCUGUCAUAUAUAUCAGUUUCAUUAAUUUCUAAGUUAAAACUUUGCCCACAGUCAAAUUGAUGCAACUGAAAGUCUCUUUCUUUAAUGGUGUAGUCAUUGACAUAUUUAUUUGUUUGUUUGGUUGAAUAUGAUUAUUUGAGUAAUUUGACAGGAGUCAAAAUAGAAGGGAUCUUGCGACAAGCUGCAGAUGUCGAUGAUGUUGAAUGUCGAAUUCGGGAAUAUGAAAAAGGUUUGUUUGUCUGUAUCCACUGUGAUUCUUGAUUAAAUUUAUAGUUUUAUGAAUAUCAUUCAACAUAAUUCUUAUAGAGUACAUUGUUUGUUGUUAUGUUUUUCGUGUAAGAAGAUUGCUUUAUUUCAGACCCAUUACUUUCUUUUCUUGUUUCUUACUCUGAAGUGGUGCAUAUGUCACAUGACUGAAUUGAUAAUUACCUACAGCAAUAUACGUGAAAUGGGAGCUUGGAAACUAAUUAUAGCCUGCUUUUGAUUUACUAAUUCUUUAUGAGAAAAAAGGUUUUGGAGAUGAAGGAAUGUCAUAUAUAAGGAAGGACAAUAAUUCCUUUUUCCAGAUGUAAUACUAAAAAGAUGGGUAGGAGAUAGAAAAUGAGUUACCAAGUAAUGAGGGAUAAAGCUCCUCUUUUAGCUUAUCAAUAAAAGCCUUGUUCCCCAUAAUGGAAAUUAGGCCUAGAAAUCUGAGUCCAUCCAAUCGAAUGCUCUCUCUUGCCUCCUCAAACUUAAGGCAUGGUAAGUCUUCCUGAAUUUUGUCAAACCUGAAAGCAACAGCAAUAAAAACUCAAAAUGAAGAGGUAGUAGGUUGGGAUGUGCACCAAAUACUCUUCCUGCACACUUUCAGGAUACGAAACUCCCUGCUUGUUUGAGGCUAACAGUUACUCCAGUAAGAUACUUUUAUCUAUGUCAAUAUUCAGCUUGGAUCCCACCCUAAAAUGCUUAAGGCUGCACUUGUGAUAGUGGAUACUUUUAUUCUAGGUUCUUGAAAGAAAAUGGUAUGAUUUGUAAAUUGCAAAUGAGAAAUAUGCACUCUAUUCCUUCCAACCUCAAAACCUAUAACGACACCACACCUUUUAGCUCUGCAGUGCAAACCAAUCUGCUUUGAACAUAAGCCACAAUAGUGAGCAGGAAAAGAGAUAAGACUGCCAUCCUAUUGAUGAAGUAGUAUCAUAAAGAAAAACCUUGAUCCUUCUUAUUUAUUUCCAUAUCUUCUGUUAUAUAGUCCAAAAAGACCCCAAUUCAUAAGAUUAUUAGCACUUCUGAAAUCCAUUUUGACUACAACCUUUCCUUGUUUAGACCUUUUCCUAUUACUGAUGUUGUAAAGUUGAUUGAGGAACUAAGGAUCUUUGCAUUGAUCCAUCCUCCCACCAGAGGGACUUGAUUAACCUUUUUUUUGUUCUACUAUUAGCCACCUUGUGGAGCAAUUUAGUAUAAACCUUUAAACAAAAAAUAAUAAUAAUAAAAAUCUGAAGGGAAUUCAUUCAUAUGAACCUGUAAGGAGAAAUAAAGGGUGGGCAAUUCUUCCGAAGUAUUGAAAUCAUAUCAAAUAGAAAAAAGAAAAAUAAAUUUGAAAAGAGCAAAAGAGCUAUACAAUUGAAGCAUAUGACAUGAUUAAGUAAUAUUAGAGAAACUGUACACAACUGGAAGAUAAAAAGAAUUUCCUAGAAAGGCCCACUGCCUGCCUCAUUUUGCGAAUUGAUUUGCAACAACUUUAGAGAGAAAUCAACCAAAGUUACAGGCAAUAGUUAAAAUUCAGUGAAGCCAAAUAAUUUACUUCCAAGAAACUUUCUCUUACACACCCACAAUUUUUUUUUUUUUGAUAAGUAAAAUAAGAAAUGCAUUAAGAAAGAGGCAAAAAGCCACAAAGCAUACAGGGGGUAUAAAAGACAGCUAAGGCCUCAAAAAAACAAAGACAAAAAGGAAUCACCUCCCCUUAAGUGGAUGCUACCCACUCCAAGAAGCCUAAAAGAGAAAGAGCCUUCUCACCUAAAUACAAUUUGGCCCAGUUCCACAAAUUACAAAUAAAAAAAUUAUUUAGUUUCUGGAUAUUCAACACUUCCCCCCCCCCCCCCCUAAAAGCUAAUCUAUUCCUCUCCUUCCAUACCGUCCAAAAAAUACACAACAGGAUGAAUUUCCAAACCUUUUUCCUUUUCUUCCCCACAAAGGGGCCCCUCCAGCUAAUUAAGACCUCUUUUACAGUUUCUGGAAAGACCCAUUUAACAUCUACUAACCCAAGGACAAUAUCCCACAAAGCUCUAACCACUAUACAAUGUAUAAGAAUAUGAUUUACAUUCUCUUCUUCACAACCACACAAAAAACAACAAUUAGGAAGUUGCAACCCUCUUCUUUGGAACCUAUCUAGAGUAAGCACUUUCCCCCACGUCGCCUCCCAAGCAAAGAAAGCGACUUUAGUUGGCACCCUAGCCACCCAAAUACAUCUUGAGGGAAAGCCGAUGUCAUUAGGAUUGGCCAGCAAACGAUAAGCUUCCUUGACCCUGAACUGACCAUUUCUUCCUCGCCUCCAAAGAACUGAGUCUUCCUCCAAAGAAGGCCUAUGACCCCUCAACACAUGGAGCAAAUCCCCAACCAUAUCCAAUUCCCAAUCAUUAAAGUCCCUAAAAAAAUUUAGGUUCCAACCUCCUUGACCAGAAUUUUGGUCUCACAUUUCCUCAAUCGUCGAAUUCCUAUGAACAGCCAUAACGAAGAAGUGAGGGAAACAAUGGGACAGCGCUGUUGGAAAGCAUUAGCAAUUCCUUCCCUCACCUCCUGCUCCUUUGAAAGCCAUUUCCCAUUGAUCUUAACUACGAUGAGCACUUGCCAUACGAUGGAAGAAGCCCGUGUUUCUGUCCCUCUUCCUAAGCCAGAUCUCCCUUGAAAGUUGUCUCCAAUGAGUUUCCUCCAGAAGCACCCACUUUUUAUAAUUUUUUUUUGCUUCUUUUUUUAACUUUGUUUCUUCCACAGUCAGACUUUUCUCGCUUUCCAUUCGGUCCCAGAAAUCCACUUGCUGCAGGGCUGAAGAUUUGUUGCAGUCCAUCCUCCCAAAAACUUCUCUAUUCCAUACUUUCAACUUCUGUUUGAUUUCCUUCAUCUUAGCAGCCAAUUUAAAGCUAGCAUUGCCCCUGACUUCGAUUCCCUGCCACCAGCUUCGAAUAAGGUCUUUGAAUCCUUCAACCUUAAGCCACAUAUUUUCGAACCUAAAUGGAGUAGGGCCUCUUCUCAUCCCACCCCCCACUAGAAUGAUUGGAAAGUGAUCGGAAAUCGGCCGAGGCAGCCUACUUUGGGUAACCCCACUAAAUUGGUCUAACCAGCUAGGGGACACAAGAAAUCUGUCCAAUCUUGCCCAUGCCUGGUUAUUGUGGCCCCCAUUCCAGGUGAACUCUCCCCCCUGUAAAGGAAGAUCCACCAGUUCUAAAUCAUCAACAAUCUCAGCAAAUCUCCUCAUCGUUGAAUUUAUUUUCCUUUGACUGCUCUUUUCCCUUUGGAAGAGGGUGAUGUUAAAAUCCCCCCUUAGGCACCAGGGGUCUUCCCAAAGGCUUUUAAUCACCCCAAAUUCUUCCCACAACCCAUCCCUUUCCAUUUUGGAGAAUGGGCCAUAAACUCCCGUGAACACCCAAACAACCCCAUUUUAAACAUUCCCAAAUCUACAGGAUAAAGUAAAAUGUCCCUCCUCCCAAUCCAGAAUGUCCAGAUACUUCUUAUCCCAGCAAAUUAGAAUACCUCCCACAACCCUCUCCGCAUCUAGAGCUUUCCAAUCUAAAAAUCUCCCAUAACCUAAACUUCUCACAAGACCCUCCGAUAUAGGUUGAAUUUUUGUCUCUUGGAUACAAGGUAAAUCCAGCCUCUAGUUCCUUAUAAAAGCCUUAAUAAUUUUCCUUUUGGAGCUAUCGUUUGUUUCCCUCACGUUCCAACUCAAGACUUUUAGUUUCAUUGGACAACUACGAUUUGACUCCCUUUGCCCUGUGAUGGGCCUUUCUACUUAUUCCCCCUCUCAUAGUUUACAGAACACUCCAACCUCUUUAACUCCCUUUCGAACUUUGACUUCUCCAGAAGCUCUUUGCAAUCUUCUCCCGUUUUUUUUUUUUUUUUUUUUUUCUGAUUUUAAUAAAAAAAAAAUCAGGAUUUCCUUUUCCAAUCUCUCCGUCGGGAAUCCCAAGAAAUGACUGAAUUUUUCCAAGCUACUCUUCUCCCAUUUUUCCUCAUUCUCAUUUCUCACGGCUUGGAUCUCGGGCGUGCCAGAGUCUCCCUCCGUCCCCCUUACUUUAUCACUGCUUCUAUUGGCUUUUCCCAAGUCCUUGCAACCAUUGACCUUCUCAUUGGACCCCUCAUACACUGUUAACCACAUUGUUUUAUCAACCUGGAAUUUCUCCUCUAUACCCCCAGAACGAUCGUAAAACUCCCCAUCCGGAACCCGAUCAAAAUGAAAAGAAUUAAGAUGAGAAACCCCCAAAACCCUUUCUCUCCUAGAGCAGAAACCCGACCCAUACCUCAAGGCUUCCUCUUUGAGCGCCCUGUCUGUCAUUGAAUAACUAACAAUUGUUUGCUGCUUCCUUAGAUCCUCUGAUUCCCAGGUGACAAUGGGCUCUGUCUCUGAAAGGUUCCCAUUUCUGGAAAUGGUGCACUCUAGGAGGCAGACCUUCUCCUGAGAGCCAUUGCUUGAGGCUUGGGUUGUUAGCAUGAUUGGGCCAGCCCUUACCAUGCCUUCAAAUCCAUUCAGUUUUGGUAGCCCAUUGGCGUGACUGGGCCUUUGCUGGAGGCUUAAGCUUUUGGCGUGACUGGACUUUUGCUUGAGGCAUGGCAACCCAUUUCUACAGCCCACCUCCUUGACGAUGGGCCUGCUUCUGUUCCAUCUUCUCUAGUUGCCACUCCUUUUAACUUUAAGCCCAAUGAUCCAUUAGCCAAGACAAGCCCACCAGCCCUCCUCGCCUCUUUUGGUCCCACGAUUGGGCCUAAGGAAGACAACCCAGACACUAGUGCAUCGGUGAAGGCCCAGUCCCGGAUCACCGGGCUUUGGGCCCGGUUUACCGUCACUCGGCCCGACCCACCCACUUGCGCACCUCUCACUUCAGCUAACAGGUUCAACGUCUUGAGCCUCGCGCUUACCCGCUCUUCCUCCACGCGUUGCUCCAAGGGUGAAACAACAUCACCCCUAACCUCGUCACUCUUUCGUCCAGCCUCUUCAUUGAAUUUCUUUCUCACCAUCGAUCUGAGCUCCCAUCAGAGUGAUAGAACGUAGACGUCCUUCUCCACUUCGAUUUCCAAUACACUCGGCCUGAAUCCUCUUCUAUCCAUAAAUUAGAUAGGCUAAUAUUCAUAACUUGCAACAAUCCUAUUAACAGUGCUAAUACUCUACCUUAAUGGCCAAGCCCUUUCCCCUUAAUUUUGAAAAGGGUUCCAACAUUGCACCAUAAUGAUAUUUGAUCACACCUUCAAUCCUAAACUGACAUGGGUUACCUAAAGCAUAUCCCUCAAAAUUUUGCCAAACUGAAACAUAUUGGGAGCAUAAUCUUGGAUUCAACUCCUCCAUAACCUCUUUGACCUGCAAACUAAGUCUCAAUCAAGUUGUAGAACAUUCAGAUAAGUACCCUAAAAAAAUAUGUAAAGGUAGAAGCCAAAAAAAGAAAUAAAAUUAUGCCAAGUUCCAAAUAGACUCCAUAAUCCUUCAGUUACCUAAAAUCCUAAGAUUCCUCCUCUACCAUAUUAUUCAUAUCAAAGUAAUGUGUUGGACUUUGCUAAAGUACCUUGCCUUAAAUAAAACCCCUCAAAAAGUUUGAACAGCCUAUGCCAAAGCCUUGAAGACUUUGAACAAUGUAGAAAAAGAUGAUUAAUUGAUUCACCAAUUCCAAUGGACAUAAAACUUAAUUUGGACUGUGAGCUUUGUAAAGCCUAAAGCCUCCUUGCAUAUUGCAAUUUAUUUGUAUUGAGCUUCUUACUAAUCACCAUCCAUCCCAAGUCCUUAACCUUAAAUUAUGCUUUAGAUUUCCAAAUGAAGUUGGAUAGAAUGAAAAAGGUUUGAUUGAUGGAUUUAUUUAGAGUUGAAAAUAAAGAUUUUUUUUUUUUUUUAAAAAAAAAAAAGAAAUUGAAGGUACUAACCAAGUUCUCAAAUCCUCAUAUUUGGGAAAGAAGGCCACAAACACACAUGGAUAAGAGAGGUAUGAGAAUUUCAAGCUUCUUAAGUUUCAGAUUAGAAGGUUAUAGCUAACUAAAGUUUUAAUAAAUGGAGGAAGAGGAGAAAAAAUAUAAUAAAAAAAUGGAGUAACUCCCUAAUCCUUGAUAUUCUUAAAAAUUUGGAAAUUAAGCACAAUGGGGCCUAUAACCCUACCAUAAUAAGUCUUUUAAAAAACGAACCUUUAUAUUGUCGCCCAUAAAAAAAACUGCAAUGAAUUAUGGAAUUGCCUUCUAGAAGUAAUAGUGUGUCCACUUGACAAUAUUGUUGAUUUCCAAAAGCAUUGGAGUGUAACCUAGAGAUAUUCAAGGUGACACUUUGUAAAACAUUACUUUCUAUGGGAAACUGUCAUACUUCCUCAAGAGGGUUAGGUUCCUUGAAGAAAUAUUCUCUAACUCAAAAAUUUUUCUCCCUUGGCUUGCAUUUUUUUUUUGGAUAGGCAAAUAAGCAAUAUAGUCAUGAAAUGAAAGAAUGCAUAACAAAAGGGCACACUAAAAUAUACAUGGUGUAUACAAGUGUGCUAAAAGGCCCAAGAUGGUUGUGACAAAUGCAAAAAAAAAACAAUCACUACCCAUUACCUAGAGCUCAACCAAUCAAUAAAGUUCAACAUGGACAAAAGACAAUCUCCUAUAUACAUCUUCAACCAUUCCCAAAAAUUUUACAUGUUGAUUGUUUGAUUGCUUGAUCCUCUUUUUUAAUAUUUUCAAAUGCUCUCCCUUGGUAUACAUACCUAGUCCUAACUAAUGAGGGGGGUCCUUUUUUCCCUCCUUGCUUCUAUCGACCAAAGAAAUCACUCUUCAUGUCUCAAUCAUAGAUGCCACUUGGGUCAGAAUUUUGAAUAUUGAAACUUGAAAGGCGGUAAAUAGUGAUAUGUGAUAACAAAAAAAUAGUAGAAGGGUUGUUCCAUUCCCAAGGGAGUAAAAGGCUUUCUUUCAACCAUUUAAUAUUCAGGAAAUCUUGUCUAAUGUUUGGUCUCAAAAUGAAGUGACUUCGGGUUCUCUGCAAGGAGGGACCCAAUAUUUAUGGGGUCAAUCUGAGACUUACUAUCUAACAAGGUAGCCAAAUCUAAGAGUUGGUCUUGAGUUUUGACUAAUGCUAAUUUUUGACAACAUUCUCUUAUCUAGGCUUAUCUUAAGACCUCACAUACAACCAAAGACCAGAAAAAUGACCAAGAGAAGAUCAUUAGUUCGUUAUAUAGAAUCAGCAGUAGUCCUUGGGGAAAAAAAGAAUCAAGAUGAUGUCUGAAUAAUGAACCUGUGUUUGCUCAUGGAGUAUAGACUGUGCAUGGUAUUUAUUUAAGAUAUUUUCAUUUUAUUUUUUUGAUAUAUUCUUGUAAAUGGUUUGCUCAUGUUCCAUAAUUCAGGAAAAAAUGAAUUUUCUCCAGAUGAGGAUCCGCAUAUCAUCGCUGAUUGCGUCAAGGUAUCUCCUUUUAAUACAUUGCUUUUAUAGACUAAACUAUUGUCUUAUACCUAGGUUUUUAUGACUUACUUUUUUUCUUGCUGCAAUAAACCAGUAUGUCCUCCGGGAGUUACCAUCAUCUCCAGUUCCUGCAUCUUGCUGCAACGCAUUAUUAGAAGCAUGUCGUAAGUUUGUUGUGGAAGUGAUGAGUGUGUGUUUGAACACUCUGUCUCUUUUUUGUUGCUUAGUGUAACAUGUAUAAAUUAUGGCACACAUUUUGUCCUAUAUGACAGAAUUUUAUCAUCUAAUGCUGGACAAAAUUCAUUUCACAUAUUUAUUAGUAGCCAUUUCACCAUCUCAAGGGUUAAACCUCAAUCAACUGUGCAUAUAAUUAGAAUUUCCAUCAGGCUUUCUCUCUAGUCUUUUGUUGAUGCCACUGAAUGUCAUAUAAAUAUAUAUUCAUUUCCAAUCCAAUCCUUUUUUGUUUCUAUGCCACCAUUGGUGCCAACACCCUCAUUUCAUCCAUUUUUGUAGUUUAGAUUUUUUUUUUCAAAAUCAAUAUUUUAUUCAAUUUUGAAAAGGAAUUAUGUCAUUAUAAAGAAGCAAACAAAAUACAUGACACUGGAUUACCAAUAACAAACUGAAAGUUGAGGCAUCAAAUAUAUUUAUGUAAAAGUAGAUACACAAUAAUUGGAGGUUCACUUGGUUUUUUUUUCUUAUUAGAUUUUUUCAGUUUUUGGCUUCUUGUGAUUUGUUAUCUUCUAAGUCAGAGCAAUUGAAGUUUUCAGCUCACUGGAUUAGUAAGGUUUUGAAGGAAUGUUUUUAGGGAAAUAUAAUAUAGGAUCUUGUGUUGUACUAUUAUGUUUCAAUAUCUUGUAUUGUUUCAAAUCAUUCAUUUUGUUAGUCACCAAUUUACCAUUUCACAAUUGUGGUUAGGAACUGAUCGUAACAAUAGAGUCAAUGCUAUGCGUGGUGCAAUAUGUGAAACAUUCCCAGAGCCUAAUCGCCGCCUAUUGCAAAGGUAGUUGAUGGUUUACUUCAUUACAAUUUCAUUGUUUUUUUGUAAUUCAAGUUUAAUUAUAUCUGUAUAUAAUUUCUUUACUGUCUUUUUUUUUGGGUCUAUUAGCAUUUGUAGAGAAAAAUAAGUCAUGCAUCUUCCUGUUUCUGUAAGGUUCUUAAUUGUAGGAGGUCAACCAUGGAGGACAAUAAAAUAUCAAAGGCUUGAUGAGAAAAUGGAGCAGAGUGAAAGGUGAGAGGUGGUUGGAGAAAGUGGUAGUAUAAUCAAGAAAAGAAUUUUAGGAGGGUGGGGAUUUCUUUAGCUCUUGCUACAAAAUGAAGACCCUCAAAACUGUUCCAAAAUUGUUAGUAGGAGGAAAGCCAACUCCACCACUAAGAUGUGCCAUCCAUUUUGGAUUCCCUGCUUAGUAUCAAGACAUGUCAAAGGAGAAACUUUCCAUGGGGUGCAAGACUUACCCUCAUCAAGAGGUAGAAUAGCAGGCCCUCUUAGCAUGUGCCACGUUUGGGCAUCCAUAUUCCAUGGAUAUCCUGGUGACCUAGGGAUGUAAUUGGAAAUUGACAUUUUGUAUCCAAAUAUUAUAGUACUAUGGCAUAUGAAGAGAUGCGGAAAGAGGUAGACCUAUCCAUGCAUUGAAACCCCAAAGCAAGGUGCACCAGCUGUCCUGUUAAUGUAGAGUUGUUUUGGACAUGUGGUAGUGAGUCCCAAAAGGGCAUGCAAUGAUUGGAUCGACUGGAUUUUGCAAAAAUAGGACAUCAACACUUCCAUCAUGUCUAGUUUCAGAUAAUUGGAAGGCUGUUAAAUUUAAUUAUGUAUGACAAGAUUUUUCUUAAAAAAAACAGUCUUUUUGUUUAUAUGUGAAGUACAUUCACCAGAAUGGUAGAUUGAGAACCUUCAAGUACAUUCAACCUUUGGGCUCUCACAGUUAAAAACCUUCCUAUCUCGUCAGUCCUUGGGUUUACUUAUCCAUUCUCUUGGAACUAGAAAGACUCAUGUCCUUGCUUGCUUGUUUGCACUUAACCUCAUUUGUUCUAGAUGUGAGAGCUUGGUCUUUAUCUUCUUCAGACUUAUUUACAAUCAAGUCUUUUUCUCUAGUCUUGUCCCACUAUUCUGAUCCAAUUCCUUUUUUCCCUAAUAAUUUUGUUUAGAAAUCUCAAAUCCUUUUUAAGAUCAAGUUCUUUGCUUGAUUAGUGGCACAUAAGAAGGUAAAUACUAAUGACAUGCUACAGUUGAGAAGACCAUACAAAGCCUUUAGUCCUAAUGUUUGUAAGCUGUGUAUGGAGCAUGGAGAAUUAGUAGAUCAUCUGUUUCUUCAUUGUCCUUCGAUGAUGGGGUUAUGGUACAUAUUAUUUAGAUUGGCCAAGAUGCAUUGGGUUCCCCUGAGGAGUAUUUGUGACAUGAUGACUAUUAAAUAUAAGGGAUUGGCAAGCUCCAAAAGAGGCCUAGUGUUGUGGCAAACCGCUUGUUUUCUUUAAUUUGGGUUGUGUGGUGGAAAGAAAUGCUAAGAUUUUUUAGGACAAGACAAUAACCUUAGAGGGUCUUCAAGAUACUAUUCAUUUCCUUGCUUCUUUUUGGGCCUCUUGUACCACAACUUUUAAGGGCAUCUCCUUAACGUGAUUCAACUUGUUUGGUUAGCGAUGUGUAGUUCCAAGGGUGUGGGUUAGCAAGGAGAGGGUGCUUUUGUAAUUACCUUAUGGUUUAUGGUUUUUGGUAUUCCUUAUGUUUAGUUCUUGUUUAUAGGAGGAUUCCUCAUCCUUCUUUUGUACUUCUUCAUUCCUAAUUCAAUAUAUCACUUUGUUGUUUCUCAUAAAAAAAUAUUGUUGAAGGUGCAGUAUUGCCAGUUUCAUCAGUUAAGCAGUUGGUUGCCAUUGCUCAUGUGACAAGACUUAUUUUAAAAUUUUGUCCUUCUGCCUGUUAUUCUCUGCUAUUCCAACAAUAAUGAGUGCUGAAUAUUUAAGAAUUUUAUUUCUUCUAGAUCUGUGGGUUCCACCAGUUUUACUGCAUUCUGAAGUGGUUGUUUUAUAAUGAGGUUAACCCUUCAGGCUUGUGGAAAAGUUACAACUCUCAUGACAACAGUAUUGCUGGAAUCCUUGACUAGAAAAAAUGUAACUAUUUGGGCUGUAUUUGUUUGCAUGGUUCAAAUAUUAAACACCAGAGAAGGAAUAACAUGCAACAGAAAUGCAUUUCUCUGACUCAGGAAUAAACAGCACAUGGAGAUAGUAUAUUUUACCAGAGGGCUAAAAAACCUAGAAGGGCACUAUACUUAAUUCUGUUUUCCCUGAAAUUCUUUGGGUUAAUUACCUUCUUCCUAGCUCUGUCAUUGUUGACCAUAGAUCUUGUUAUUAAAACCAUUAAAAUUCAAUGCCAACUUAAUGAAAACUAUCAUGCAUCUCUACUAAUCUGUGUCUAUGUUAUUAGUUUCUUUAUUAUUUAUAUAAAUAAUUUCAAUUGAAGUUCUAUAUAUUAUUUAUGUCGUGGAUUGAACUAUGGAUUUCCAAGCAGUCAAAACACAUUUAGGACUCCUUAGUUAAGGAAUUCUCCCCGUUCAUAUAGCAUCAAAACUUUCUUCAGCCUCUAAUUUUUCUUUUUAUUAUGGACUAAUUUCUACUAAUUUUUGUGCAUAUCAUUACAUUUUUAUUGUUGUCAAGGAACAGGUGUGGGUAUCAUAUUUUGAUAUCUUAAAUUUGAGGAUGUUAAAGAACAAGGAAAUGAGAAAGCGCAUUCUCUUAUCCUAUUCAUUGUUCUUUAAUAUGAUAUUAGAGCUUUAAUUAAAUGGAGGUCUUGGGUUUAAGUCCGCUCCCAUCUAUUUAUUUGUGUAAUUAUCUAUAAUAACAAAUUUGUGAUUUGUUUGCCUUUCUAUGCUACCCACAGGGGGUAUGAGGCUGCACUUAAGGCGCAGGGUGUUAGAGUAUAUACAUUGCUGGCUCAAAUCCUAGUAACUAAAACUUUUAGAAAAUUUGGUUACUCAAGAGAUGACAUGUUGGUAUGUAAAUUGUGUUGCAGAACACAAUUACAUUUAUAUAAAGUGUCUAAAUAUUUUAGUCAAUCUAAGUUCACAGUUCCUUUAGGUGGUCUAUGGUUGAAAGGUGUAGUAUUAUUGUUGUCAUCAUUGUGCCAACACCCCACCCACACCAACCUAUCUCCCCAUUCACCCCACCUAGUUGUGGUUGUGUAAGUUAGCCUUUCUUUGGUUAACAAGACUAAAAUCUUUAUUCAAGUGUAUGAUAAAUUACCCCCAUUUGGAGUAAGUGAAUAAAGAAAUCCUGAUUAUUCAACAACUAUUAUGGUGAUUAACUUUGCCAUGUUAUUAUUAUUAUUUUUAAAAAAAAAAGAAUUCCCCUUUUUUCUUGAGGUUGAGAUGAAGAUAGGAAGUUCCCCUUUCAAAUUAGGAAUCUAUAAAAAUUAAUGAAGGAGAAAAUUGGAUGAAUAAAAGUAGUGGGGCAAUCUAAAACUGUUGAAAUAGGGAAAUUUUUUUAUUUCUUUCUUCAUUUGUAGGGUUUUUACCUCCCUGAGACAUAGAUAAUUUGUUUGCAUUGUGCAUUUCCUUUAGCCUCUCAGCUGUGCAGCUUAUCUUGAGUUUCUUUUGGAGUGUUUUGGGCCUGUUCUUAUGUUUUUUUUUAUCAGUUCUUUGUAUCUUUUGGAAGGAUAUCUCAUCCUUAAUUGUACUCACUAAUUCAUUUCUAAGAAUUUGUUAUUUCUGAUAUAAAAUAUUAUGGGCUAGAUGCUGAUUAUGGACUAUGAUUAAAAUAACCAUUCCUGUUACAAACAACAUUAUUGUUUCUUACUGAAAAUUAUUCUUUUCUUGUGGCUAUGUCCCAUUCGAGGGAUCAAUUUUAGGCUUGCAGUUUUUCUCAAAAAAUAGUUUAUUUGCUUUCUUUGCUUUCUUGCUCUAAUUUAGCAGCAGUUGCACUUCUCCAUGUUUAAACUUGUUUAUUUCAUUCCUCUGCAUCCAGAAUUCUAAUGAUGAUGCAAACUGUGGCUUCUCACAAAGCUGAGAAUCGAAUGAGCUCUUCAGCUGUGUCUGCUUGCAUGGCACCUUUACUUCUUCGUCCCCUUUUGGCUGGUGAUUGCGAGCUUGAAAAUGAUUUUGAUGUGGGUGGGGAUGGUUCUGCUCAGCUUCUGCAAGCAGCUGCUGCUGCUAACCAUGCUCAAGCUAUUGUCAUAACUCUCCUAGAGGAGUAUAAUAAUAUGUUUGGGGUAAAAUUCUAAUGAUCUCUCUCUCUUUCUGUGCAUGUGUUUUUUUCUUUAAUUAUUUAUUUUAAUUUUUUUUGGUCCAAUUGCAUUUAAAAACCUUCUCACAUAAAUGCAUUAUUUUAUUUAUAUCUUCUACUAGUCUGGUCUUUAUUGAAUCUUCUUUUGUAAUAUGGGUAUUAACUCAAAUUUUGGUCCAAAUGAUUAUUUAUGCUUGCUUUAGUCUUCCACUAUCCUAUUGACAAUUAAGACUAUAACUAAGGUUUGUUUAUUUAUGGAAAAGGCCAUUGGGAACAAGAGAUAGUAUUUUGGUAAAAUUCUCUAGAGUGAACUUUGACAAUAACCUUAUAAACAAAUUAAAGUUCUUUCUCCGGCCCUAUCAUCAAUUAGAAGAUUUAACUUGUAUGAGUUCCUGUUGGUUUGAUGCUAAUAACGGUAGUCCUUUUAGUAUGGCAAGGAUACAUAUGUAUCCACGAUUAAAAAUUCAUUGAUGUUACACUUUUCUAUAUAUCCCACCAUAUCUAGCAUAUGAACACACACAUACAUGUGGUGUUGUGUAUUACGUUUUGAUAUUAGAUUUAGAAAUAAGUCAAUAGAAUCUUCUUAUUUGUGUUUGAGUGUAAAAAAAAAAAAAAAAGAGCCAAAGUAGUAUGAGAUGUAAUGGUGUAGAGGCUUGAAAAACAUUUAGUGUCAUGGAAGAGGCAAUUCAUUGUCUAAAUAUGCCAACUUCACUUAGGCUGAGACCAGAGAAGCAACAAAGGGACUUUCUGUGGGAUGAAAGAUGUGAGGGAUUAUAAAAUUUGUGUUUCUUAACAAACCUUUAAUAUGUAGAUGAUUCAUAAUGUUUUUUAAAGAGAGGAAGAGUUCUAUAUUUCGACUAAAUUUGUGAGAUGGAAGGAAGGUGGUGUUCAGGGAUAACAAUGAACCCUUGGACUCUUGGAUCAAAUUGAGUGAAAAUCUUUUAGAAAUGGUUGAAUGCUUUCAAGGGUUUCAUUUCUUUUUAUGUGAAUAAAGGGCAUAUGACUAGGUUUUUGCUUGAUAUGUGGUUGUGGAGUGUUCUCAAUAAUAGCAAGAGUUUCUUUGAAAGUAAAAAAAAGAAGGUGAAGUGUAAGCCUAUUAAAAAAGGUUGACAUGCAUUCAAUAAUUUCAUUUCUUUUUGUGUUAGGAUGGGUGGAUGACUAGUAUCCAAGGCUUGAUAUGUGAUGUGGAGAGUCCUUUGGUGGUUUGGCUUCUGUGGUUAACAAAGAGGAGCAGACCCCGUUGAGUAUCAUUCUGGCUAAUGGUAGCAAUGGGGUGUUGGCCUCUAAGGGAGAGAAGUCAGUGGCUGGAGAAGAUGCGGGAGGGGAGUUUGAGGGGUUGUUUCAGGACUUGGAAGGAUGCCGUUGGGACAACAGCUGCCUAGUGAGGUUUAGUAAAUUUUUGGGCUUCUCUACGGAUGGUUUUGAAGGCGAAAUCCUGAAUUUGCUCCUAAGGACCAAGAGAAAAAGAGAGCAAAAUUUGAAGAAGGGCUUGUCAAGGUCCACUAAGUUUGAUCGGGAAUUGAAAAAACUAGAGUGGUCUAUUAAUUAUAAUGGAGCAAGAAAGUAGAAUUCUCUGGUCAGAGAAAGUGGGGUCAGAUUCUCGACCGUUAGGUGAAGCUAAAGAUUCUCUCCUGGAAUGUCAGAGGGGCUAAUGACAGAAAUAAAAGAAAGGUAAUUAAGGCCCUAAUCAGGUCGCAAAAAGUGGAUGUGGUGUGUUUGUAGGAGACUAAAAUUCAAGACAUGUCCCAGGGGGUUAUUCACAGUCUUGGUGUGGGAAGAUUCUUAGGUUGGGGAGCUGUGAAUGCAAGGGGGGCAGUUAGAGGGGUGGUGGUCUUCUGGGAUAAGAGAGUUUUGGAGUUAGUAGGCCUGGAAGUGGGAAUCUUCUCAAUUUUGUGUCGUUUUAAGAACUGCGAGGAUGGGUUCAUGUGGUUUUUUACAGGGGUCUACGGACCGACUUUGAAAAGUUAUAGAGAACCUUUUUGGGAAGAGUUAGGUGCCAUUCGAGGGUUGUGGUCUGAUUCUUGGUGCAUCAGUGGGGACUUCAACAUGAUUAGAUUUCCCAGUGAACGUAGUAGAGAAGGAAGAUUGUUUGGUUCCAUGAGAAGGUUUUGCGAAGGUGUUAGAUGAGUUGGCUUUAAGAGAUUUACCUCUUUAGGGAGGGCCUUAUACGUGGAGUGGAGGGCUGAAUGGUCAAUUCAGGUCAAGACUGGAUCGUUUUCUGAUUUCGGAGGAUUGGGAAAAUCAUUUUAGUGGGGUGUCUCAAAGCACUCUCCCAAGGCCCGUGUUUGAUCACUUCCCAAUUCUGUUAGAUGGGGGUGGGGUGAGGAGAAGUCCAAUUCCAUUUUGUUUUGAGAAUAUGUGGUUAAAGGAGAAGGGCUUUAAGGAGCUUCUUAAGGGUUGGUGGCAAGGUUUCAAUUAUAGUGGGUCUUAUAGUUUUGUUCUCUCAGAAAAACUAAAAGCGUUAAAAAUUAAGUUGAAGAAUUGGAAUAAGGAAGUUUUUGGUAAAGUGGGGGUGAACUUGAGGAUGGCCUUGGACAAAGUGUCCUUUUGGGAUGAUCAGGAGCGGCAGAAAGCUUUAAACGAGCAGGAGUUAGAGGCUAGAAAAGAGGUCAGGGAGGACUUUAAGAAGUGGGUGCUUAUGGAGGAAAUCUCGUGGAGGCAGAAAUCAAGAGAAACAUGGUUGAAGAAAGGCGAUAAGAACACGGGAUUCUUUCAUAAGAUGACAAAUUCUAACAGUAUGAGGAAUUGUUUGAAAAAGAUUAAAGUUAAGGGUAACUGGCUUUCAGAAGAUCAAGAAAUUCAAAAGGGUGUGGUGAGGGCCUAUCAGGAUCUGUUAUCGGAUCCUAGUGGCUGGCACCCUGGUAUGAACAGUAUGGAGUUUGAUAGAAUUGGGAGUGAGGAGGCUGCUAGGUUGGAGGAGAUGUUCUAUGUGGAAAAGGUGUUUCUGGCCCUCUCAGAGUUGAAUGGGGACAAGACUCCUGGUCCGAAUGGUUUCCCCAUUGUUUUCUGGCAGUUUUGUUGGGAUUUCGUCAAAGAGGAACUAAUGGGCUUCUUCAAGGAUUUUUUUGAGAGGAGGAAAUUUGUUAGAAGUCUGAACUCCACGUUCCUGGAUUUAGUCCCUAAGAAAGGCAGGGCUGAUGAUUUACGCGAUUAUAGACCCAUCAGUUUGGUGGGAGGCCUGUACAAGCUUCUCGCCAAGGUCCUAGCUAAUAGGUUGAAGAAGGUAGCAAGUAAGGUGGUGUCUCCUACCCAAAAUGCCUUUGUUGAAGGAAGACAAAUCCUUGAUGCUGCGUUAAUUGCUAAUGAGGCCAUAGACUCGCUGCUGAAAGGGGAUGAAGCUGGUGUGUUAUGCAAAUUGGACCUAGAGAAGGCUUAUGAUCAUAUUAACUGGGAUUUCCUGUUGACAGUGAUGCAAAAAAUGGGUUUUGGGGAGAAAUGGGCUGGUUGGAUCAGGUGGUGCAUCUCCAUUGCUUCUUUUUCAGUUUUGAUUAACGGAUCGCCUGCGGGUUUUUUCCAGAGCACUCGAGGGUUAAGGCAAGGAGACCCCAUUUCCCCUUACUUGUUUGUUUUAGGGAUGGAGGCCUUAAGCUGCCUCAUUAACAGAGCAGUUAGGGGGGGUUUCCUGACAUGCUGCAGGUUAAGGGGUAGGGGUGGCAGUGGGAUUCAAGUGUCUCACAUGUUGUUUGCUGAUGACACGUUGGUUUUUUGUGAGGAUUCCCAAGAGAAAAUGGCUAUUCUAAGCUGGCUUUUAAUGUGGUUUGAAGCCAUUUCUGGUCUGAGCAUCGAUUUGAACAAAAGUGAAUUCUGCCAGUGGGAAGAGUAGAGAACAUUGAGGUUUUGGCUUCAGAAUUGGGAUGCAAAGUGGGUUCUCUCCCCUCCACUUAUUUGGGGCUCCCUCUAGGAGCUCCUCAUAAGUCGGUGGCUGUAUGGGAUGGUGUGGAAGAAAGGAUGCGAAAGAGGCUUGCUUUGUGGAAGAGGCAGUUCAUUUCCAAGGGGGGGAGAAUCACUCUCAUUUGGAGCACUUUGGUUAGCAUGUCGAUCUAUCUUAUGUCCUUGCUGCGUAUGCCUAGAGUUGUUAGAUUGAGGUUUGAGAAAAUCCAAAGGAUUUCCUUUGGGAUGGGGGUGCGUUGGAGAAGAGGCCCCAUCUUGUAAAGUGGGAUGUGGUUUGUUCUCAUAAAAAGAAAGGCGGUUUGGGGAUUAGAAAAAUUUCUAUUCUCAAUAGGUCCCUAUUGUGUAAAUGGAGUUGGCACUUUGCGGUUGAAAGAUAGUCCUUUUGGAAGCUUAUUAAGUAGGAAGUAUGGGGAAGAAGGUGGAGGGUGGAUUUCUCGUGAGGUUAGGGAGGGCUAUGGGGUGGGGUUUUGGAAGGAAAUUAGAAAGGAAGGCUUUCUGAUGUUCAAAAAUGUUUCUUUUGCUGUAGGGGAUGGUAGAAGGGUGAAAUUUUGAAAGGACAUUUGGUGUGGAAACAUUCCCCUUUGUGAGGCUUUUCCUUCUUUGUUUGCCUUUGCGGUCUCUCAAGAUGCGUGGGUAGCAGAUUGUUGGGACUCUAUGGGGGAUGGUCUCCUUAUUUCUCUAGACCCUUUAAUGAUUGGGAGAUGGAGGCGGUAGUGAGUCUCCUUUCGAUCCUUCAAGGAAAGAGGCUUUUUGUUGAGCUGGAGGAUAGAGUGUUGUGGAAUGCUUCUAAGAAUGGGAUUUUCUCUGUAAAAUCCCUUUACAAUACUCUUGAUUCUAGUGGUGCAGUCUCAUUUCCUUGGAGAAUCAUUUGGAGCCCUUGUGUGCCUACAAUGGUGGGUUUUUUUGCUUGGGAAGUUUCUUUGGGGGAAGGUUCUAACCCAAGAUCAACUCAAAAGGAGGGGUUGGAUUUUAGCAAACAGGUGCUUCUUGUGUUGUGAUGAAGAGGAGACAAUAAAUCACAUCCUUAUUCAUUGCCCCAAGGCGAGGGUAUUGUGGAAUCUUGUGUUUUCGUUGUUUGGUGUUAAUUAGGUCCUUCCGCUUACGGUUAGAGACACUCUCCUUGGUUGGUCUGCUUCCUUUGUGGAUAAGAAGCGUGGAAAGACUUGGCGGACAGCUCCUCUCUGUUUAUUUUGGACGGUUUGGAAAGAAAGAAAUAUGAUAGUUUUUGAUAAUGAGGCUUUGUCGAUCCAAAGAUUGAAAAACUCCUUCGUUUGUAAUCUUUUCUCUUGGUCUAAGUCUUAUUUAGAUGGAGAACCCCAUUCCUUAAUUAACUUUGUUGAUUGGUUGGGUUCUAGGUGAGGGCUGGUGAGUGUUUGCUUUUUUGCGUUUUUUGUCUUGUGGUUUCUUGUGUAUACUUCCUGUAUGCUUCGGGUUGCUUUCUUGCUCCCUUUUUCUAAUAAAUUUUCUGUGGUUUAUCUAUUGAAAAAAAAAAAAAUUAAUGCUACAGAAAUUAACAAUAAAACUUCCUUUAGGUGAUUAUUAGUGCAAGGAAGAUAGUUUUAGGCACUGGAAUCUGAGUUUUAUUAGAAGCUUCCAUGAUCAGGAACUAGAAAAGAUGCAGAAUUUUAUGACUUGUAUCUAUAUAAAGAAAGUUACAGUAGAAAAAAGUGAUUUUUCUAUAUGAAUACUUUUAAUUAAGGAGUUGUUAGUUUCUUAAAUAUUGUGGCACUCUCAAGUUUGUUUCUGCGAGUCUCCAUGAGAUAGGAUAUGUAAUCUGGUUAAUUAGUGUUGUCUAUAUAAAAAGGAGAAAUGGCAAAUCUCAUUCUUCUACAUUGUGAAUGGUAAAACAACUUCAGAUUUUAAUGUUCUCCAUGGUUGGGCUUUCAUGGCUUAUGCCUAACUUUAUUAAAAAUUCUUUGUGUUGUAGAAAAGAAGUUAUGUGGGAAAGCAAUGGCCAAGAUUGUGGGUAAUAGCCUUGUUAUGCAUUAUUUAGUGUUUAUCAAGGAAACAAUCAACGAAUUUUUGAAGGGGUAUAGAUCUCUAAUCUAGAGCUCAAGGAUGUUUUUUUUCUAAAGUCUUAGGUCAUGUGGUCGAUGGAUGCCUUUGGUGAAGGAAGUAUGCCUUUUUUCAACUUUGUAGAUAGAUGGGUAUGGAGUGAGUCUCCAAUUAAUGUUUGUUGAUGUUGAGUUAUUUCCUUUUUUCAUUUUUGCUAGCCUUAGAAGGUGAUUCUUUGUAUAUUUCUUGAACCAGUAUUGACCCUUUCUUGGCAUUUUUGGUAUUACAAUUUUUUUCCUUCAUCCAUCUCAUUUUAGCUUUUCACCUCCAAUUAUAAAUUUCUUUAUCUUUAUCUUUUUUUUUUUUUUUUUUUUUCAAAUUUUUUUUGUUAGAGUGCAUGAUAUACAUUGUGGACCCUAAUCUUAUGAAUUUAAGCUUUUAGGAAAAUUAGUUGUUCAAUAUGGUAUUAGAGCCUAGUUUGGUGGGAGGUCAUGCGUUUGAACCUCACCAUCACAUGUUUAUUUAUCCAAUUUAGUAAGCCCAAAAAUGGAGGCUACAUGUGAGGAAUGGUGUUAGACUGCAUAAUAUCUAUUGGGAGCCCAAAUCCUACAAGUUUAAGCUUUAAGGAAAAUGCGUUGUUCAACACUUUGCAUUCCCCUACCCUCGUAAUAUCCUUCCAUCCUUUCUUAAAGUUCCAUGUCUCUUGAUUCAUUUCCCUUUUUCAUGGGAUCUUACAAAAGGAAAGAGCUGCAAAGAGACGCUUAAUACUGCAGAAUUUCUAUCAUUUCAUUUUGCUGCUUAUGUAUUGAUGUAGAUCAAGGGACUCAGUUGUCCAAUUUUCAUGGAGCUUGGAAUUUGUUGCUUUUGUAGCAUUUUGGUUAGACAAGGUUUUUUGCUACUGCUUAUCUUUAUGUUACUUUGUACAGGGGUUUUUAAUCACAAAUUUACAGGUGAUCCAGGAGUCUAGUGCAUGAGCAAUUUUUUCUAAAAACUAAUGAAUUGUUUUAUAAAAUUCAGAAAUUUUUUACCUACUAUUUUUUUUAAUCAUUCAGCCAUAUGUUGACAGAUUUCCGAAUAAUUUGUCCAAUUAUCAGACAAAUUAAUUAAAGUACUAAAGCUAUGGUUCUUUUUCUUUAAGUGGAUUUUUGUGAAUAAUUACUGGAUCUAAAACCAAGAGAUUAGUGCUUGCACACCCUUAUUUCUAUUAAUGCAAUAUUUUGUUCAAGAAAGAAAGAAAAAAGAUAUAACUUUUCUUUACAGCUAUAUUUGAAAAAUAAAAAAAGCUAAAUUUGGUUAAAAUAACAUACAUUUUAAAAGGACUGAUUGUUUAUGUCUGCGAUACCUGGACCUCUCAACUUCAUCCAAUGUACCGAUACUAAUAUGAAUGACAUGGGUGUGGGUGGGUAUGAGAUCCUUGUUGAGUACACCUGUUUUGCUUUAGAUGCGGCUAUUUAAUUCUUCAUUUAUUUCCUUUUUCCAUUGUUAAUUAUCCUAACUGGAAAGUGUUGAGAUUGUCUGGUUUUUUAGGAUAUAUUUUUGAGGAUAUUUAGGGAUAAAAGAGUUCUUUUAUCAAGGAUAUGUUUCUUUUCCUUCUGAUUGAAUUUGAACUGAUUUUUUAUUUUUUUCUUAUACUGCAUAUCCAAGUACCCACUAUUAAGAUAAUUUCCAGUCAGGGUCCCUCUAUCUCAAAAUUUGGGGAAAUGAAGGAUCAAAUAGUUAGACACAUAGCCACAUUUGACGCAUACACUUGAACCCAUAUAAUGUAGGGGUAUAAGGCUAUUAAAAUCCCUGAACUGUGAAGGGUGGUUCUUUCACUAUAUGUUAAUACUGAUUGCUUCAGCUUUAAUUAGUUCACGUUCUUUCCCUUUUUUUUUCUUUUUUUUCUUUUUUAAAGCUCCAUGAACUAAUACUAUGUGCAGGAGGCGUCCAUGUCUGCUGACCUAUACACUGAUUCAGAAGAGAGUGGAUGUGAGACUGAGGAGCAAACUGAUGAUGAUGACGAUGAUGACGAUGAUGAUGAGAUCCUGGAAGAUGAUGGAUAUGAUGAUGUAACAGAAGACCCUGAUGCAGAUACAGAUGAUGAUCUGGAACAUUCAUCAAAUGGAACCUGCAGUGAAAGUGGUAACAAUGGAGAUGAUGAUCUUUGUCAUGAUAAGGCUCGUUCUUGUACUCUUAAUGUUAGCUUCUAUAGUUACAUAUUAAUAGGUGGUAGCAGAAACUUAGCUUUAUCAAUAACUCAGGCUUCUGUUUUAUUAUGCUAAACAUCUUUCAAAUGCACAAUUAUGUUGUUAAAUUAAAAUGGUGAAGUUGAUGCCUUCUUUUCUGUUCUCUUUCAAUUUCUGAACUGAUUACACUAUUCUUUUAGAGUCGUCUUCUACUAGUUUUAGCCUUUUUUCUUUAACUGUUUGCUAUUGCCAGUCCAAAUGUAAUAUCAGUUAACAAGGAUUAUAUUUCUUGAUAGUUUUCAUAUUCUUAACCCUGCCACAAAUUUACAUAUGGAACAUUAUGACUCAAUUUAUGCACUAAAUUUUCAGUCAUGGAUGCUAGAUUCCUCCAGACAGGUUUCCUUAGCAUAAUACUUGUGCAUGUGCUAGAUCAAUCUGUCUGUGUCCUUCGAUGCACUUGGCCUGACAUUUUCCAUCUUAAGGAUCUUGCUUCUAUAAAUAUAGGUUGUCUAUGGAGCCUGGGUUGGUGAAGCUAGAAUUAAAAUGUGACUGAAAUACUGUUAGAUAAUAUUAUUGUUGACAUGUUUUAUAAAUUUUUGCAAAUUGUUUUUAAUUAAUUUAAAUUUAGAAGAACUAUCAGUUCCAUCCUCAAAUUAAGGAUUGAAUGUAAUCUCUGUUCAGGGCUGUAUGACUAAUUUUGAUUGUGCAUGUGCAUAAUAUGAAGGAAAAAAAGUCUCAUGUACUCAUUUUUAAUAGUCAGAAGUUUUUUUUUUCACUUUUAUAAACUAUGAAUGUGGAUAUAUUUUAAUUGGACUCAUUAUGCUGGUACAACAUGAAAAACAUACUUGGGAAGAAUGACAUAUCCACUUGUAACUUUAUCAUAACUUCAUCUUGGUUCACCUGUUAAGGACUCUAGAUAAACAGAACUAAAAAGUGAGUUCAUUGAUGUGCAAGCAAGAACUAGAAUCAUAAAUUUGUGUAAAAUGGGUACAUGAAUUUUUUUGUAUCGUCUUGUGCAUUCUGAAGGUUCUCUUACCAAACACAGUUUUCCUUCAUAUUCUAUUUUGGCUCAUGAGUACAAGGGUCUCAAGUGCAUGGAAUAUUACAAAAUGACGGCAAAUAAUGAAGAGAGCUGUGUUUUUGUUUACUAGUACCGUCAGACAAAGCUUAGUGAGCAUAUGAUGUUAUGUUAUUCCUUUAGAAACCUUAUGUAAGGUCAUAGCUUUAUUCCAUGAUGGAUUAGACUUAAUGAUGCACAGCUAAAAAAAUGGAAUUUAUCCGUGCUGUACCUGAAUCUAUUAUCAGUAUUAGAAGAGAGUUUACUCAGAAGGGAACAUGAACUACAGAAAUUUUUAUAUGUUAACCUAUGCUCAAUCUUACUAAAAGAAUUUGUAAAUGGUAAAUAGUUUCUUUAGUGGGUAUGUAAUGUAAGUCAGUUGCAUCUUUUUAAAGUACAGGCUUUUAAUUAUUAAAUCUUUGUAGCUAUGUGCACCAUUUAUGUCAUAUGAGAAAUGCUUAGUGUUGUGCUCCUUUCCUAUGAGUUGUCUCUUGUGCAUGUCUUUUUGCAUCUCCAAGGUUAUAUAAUGAUAUUUGGACGUCUGCAUUUGCUCAUACAUAUUUUUUAACAACAUUAGAAUGGAAUAGAUCUGCAGAAUUACUAAUGUUAAUUACGUUUCUACGGUCCUCAUGAUUGUCCUGGUCUUAUCACAAGAAAUGGCAUAGGAUUUACAAAUCCUAAUACUAUUCAACAUUCAUUUAAUUGUUUAAGACCUUGCAAGUUACCGGUAUCAUUGUUAUCUGAAUUCAUUGUUUCGAGAAUUGUUUAAAUAUUUUUCUCUAAUAACCAUUUCACAGAUUACGCCAAACAUCUUUUUUCUUUUGUCUUAGUUUUUCUUUAUCAUUCUCCUUAAACUCAUAGUGUGACAUAGUUUCUUCUCUAUCACUCCCCUUUAAUGUUCACAAUUCAUUAUUGUUACAGGUUUAAUCACUCUGAUGUUGCUAUGGUCUUUUAUUGUUUUUUGUUCUUGUGGAUAUUUUAGUGCCACUUUUCCUAUAUAUAUCCCUUGGUUGUUUUAUUAUUAUCUGGUUGUCCUGAAAACCUAUUGCUUGUGGAUAUUUUAUUGUUAUUUGAGUUAUUAUUUUUAUCCUUUCGUUAAAAAGAAAAAUACCAAACACUAGCUAUUUUUAUGAUGCAGGACUCUGAAGGUUAUAGCUCAAGUUCCAAGUCCUCUGAAGUAGGUGAUGGUUUUGAAGCCAAUCAGAAGUUGUCAUCAAGUCCACCCCAAAUUUCAUUGCUUCAUCAGGAGAAUGUAGAAAAUAGUGGCAAAUUUCAGACUCAAAGUAAUAGUUGUUCAGCAAUGCAGGGUAGUUAUUCUGGCGAACAAUUAGAAGAAGUUCCUGUAGAAGCUAGCUCCAUACAUAAGCUAGCUGGCCAGCGUUCAUCCCCUCAUAUUAAAAAAUCUACGACUAUAGCAAGUGGACCAAUGAAUAAGCGCCCUACUGUUUGGGGCCGUACCCCUGUAAGUAUAACUAUGUCUUCACCACUCAUGAUUUUUUUUUUUUUUUUUUGAUAGGUAAAUUUUUGUCCCCAAUGGGACUUGAACCUGGAACCUCCCAUAAAUCAUUCAUGAUGUUAUAGUCUGUUUUUGAGUGUUUCAGUCAUUUUAUAUAUUAGAUCUAACUCUACAAUCUACCUUUACAAGAGGGGGCCACUGAGCUUUUCUCAUUUAAUUCAUUCCAUUUGUCAGUUUGUUGCCAUUUUCAUUUUCUUCCCAUGUAGCUGCUGUAACUAAAAUACAUUUUCCCCCUGACUUGAUUCCAGGGAAGAAAAAACCUUUCCAUGGAAUCCAUUGAUUAUGUCGUUGAAGAUGAGUAAGUGACGGAUCUUUCAUCUAUAUAAAUGUUUCUUUGGUUUUGUUAUUGUGUUUAUUUAUUUAGUUAUCUACACCCUUGGCAUAAUCAGUACAAGCACAGUCUGAUCGUAUAUUAUACAUAUAUACUUGUAAGAUCAUAUUCAUAUAAUAUGCGUGAGAGAUAAACAUCUAGGCAGGUUUACAUCAUGUUUUGAUGUUACAAAUUAAAUGGCUUGGAUGAAUGCAAUAUGUGUCCUAAAUUGAAUCUAUACUUGUAUAGUCGAUUGUCUACAUGGAUUUUGUAAUCUUUAGUAGAACUGUUUGAUCAUUGUCUUACAUGGCUGCAACAAAAUUCUACCUUUUGGUUUGCCUUAGACCUUAGUCUUUCUGUCAAUUAUGAGCUUUCAUAAAUCUAAUUUCAGUUUGUGCUGACUGUUGCUAAAAUUAUGAAAGUAUAUUUGGGGAGUUAAGAGAGUUGGGUCUGGGGAGGGGAACAAGUAUGUUGCAGCCAAUAAGUUACAUGAGUUUGUCAAUAAUCCCUUAAAAUGAUGCUUUGAUAAAUUGGAUUCAUGUUUUGAUGAAAUGGGGUUCAUGGAGCUGACUCCAAAAUACUUGGGAUAAAGGGCAUUGUUGAGAGAGAGAGAAAGAAGAAAGACCUUAAUUCUCAUUCAUGUAAUAUCUACUUACAAUUGAGAAAUAUAUAUAUAUACAAGGCUAGGAGUCCUAACUACUAUACAUGUGACCUAUAUUAACAAGGAAAGAUUAUACACUAUAAAUACAUUAUAUUCAACACUCCUCCUCAAGCUGGAGCAUAUAAGUCAUAUGCACCAAGCUUGUUACAAAUAUAUUUAAUCCUAGGACCACCUCUGAGAGAUUUAGUGAAGAUGUCUGCUAGUUGAUCAUUUGAAUUAACAAAACUUGUAGCAACACAUCUUGAUGCAAUCUUCUCUCUAAUGAAAUGACAGUCAACGUCAAUAUGUUUGGUCCUUUCAUGAAAGAUUGGAUUGGAUGCAAUAUGUAAUGCGGCCUGGUUAUCACAGAUGAGUUUCAUCUGUUCAUCCUUUCCAAAUCUCAACUCUCGAAGAAGAUGUCUCAACCAUAUGAGUUCACAUGUUGCCAAAUCCAUAGCUCGAUACUCGGCUUCAGCGCUAGAUCUGGCUACUACAUCUUGUUUCUUACUCUUCCAAGAUAUUAGAUUACCUCCAAUAAAAACACAGUACCCUAAAGUGGAACGUCUAUUUGUGGGUGAGCCAGCCCAAUCUGCAUUUGUGUAACCAACAACCUGAGUAUGACCUCUGUUCUCGUACAACACACCUUGGCCUGGUGUACUUUUGAUAUAUCGAAGAAUGCGGAUUACGGCAUCCCAAUGGCUAUCACAUGGUGACUGUAGGAAUUGACUAACAACACUCAUAGGAAAAGAAAUGUCUGGACGAGUAAUGGUGAGAUAGUUCAAUUUACCUACGAGCCGUCGAUAUCUCCCGAGGUCUCCUAAAGGCUCCCCCUGUCCUGGUACAAGUUUGACAUUCGGAUCCAUAGGUGUGUCUGCCGGUUUAUAGUUUAACAUACCGGUUUCUUCCAGGAUGUCUAAAGCAUACUUCCUUUGGGAAAGGACCACACCAGAACUGGAUUGAGCUAUCUCAAUUCCCAAGAAAUACUUGAGUUUCCCCAAGUCUUUGGUCUGAAAGUGGGUAAAAAGAUGUUGCUUUAGUUUCUAAAUACCAUCUUGAUCACUGCCUGUAAUGACGAUGUCGUCUACAUAAACAACCAGAUAAAUACAUUGCCCCAAAGAGUUAUGAUGAUAGAAAACUGAAUGGUCUGCUGUAUUGCGAAUCAUGCCAAACUUUUGAACAACAGAACUAAAACGGCCAAACCAUGCUCGAGGAGAUUGUUUCAAGCCAUAUAGAGAACGGCGUAACCUGCACACUAAACCAGACCCCCCCUGAGCAACAAAACCAGGAGGUUGCUCCAUAUAAACUUCCUUGGCAAGAUCACCAUGAAGGAAGACAUUUUUAAUAUCCAACUGAUAAAGAGGCCAAGAACACAUAGCAGCCAUGGAGAGAAGCAGACGGACAGAAGCAAUCUUGGCAACAGGAGAGAAUGUGUCACCAUAAUCAGAACCAUAAACCUGAGUAUAGCCUUUAGCAACUAAGUGGGCCUUAAGGCGAUCAACCUGACCAUCAGGACCAACCUUAACUGCGUAGACCCAACGACAGCCAACGGUAGAUUUACCAGAGGGUAAAACAACAAGAUCCCAAGUGCCAUUAGAGUGUAGAGCAGCCAUUUCAUCCACCAUUGCCUGUCACUAGCCUGGAUGGGAAAAAGCUUCAUGGGUGCUUUUUGGAAGAGAAACAGAGGAUAUAGCAGAAACAAAAGCAGAAUAGGGUGAAGAUAAUCGAUGAUAACUCAAAAAAUUGUAAAUAGGAUGAGGAUUACGAGUAGAGCGAGUACCUUUCUGAACAGCAAUGGGUAAGUCAUUAGGAGAAGGCAGAGCCGGGGCAAGUGAAGCCGAAGGGAUAGGAAGUGAGUCAGCAGGUGCCUCAGCAAAAGGGAGAGGAGCAACGACACGAGGGUGACGAUGAUAAACCUGAAGUGGUCGAGGAGGCAUAGCAUCAGGUGGGGAGACAAUGGGAAUAGGCAAGACUUCAGAAACAGGAAGAGACUCAGAAGUGGUGGAAAAGAAUGGUGAGUCCUCAAAGAAGGUGACAUCAGCGGAGAUAAAGUAUCGAUGAGUCUCAAGAGAAUAACAACGAUAACCCUUCUGAAGUCUGGAGUAUCUCAAGAAGAGGCACUUCAUGGCUUUGGCGGAAAGCUUGUCCUGUCCAGGAGUGAGAAUACGAACAAAGCAAGUACAACCAAAGACACGAGGAGGAAAAAAAUAAAGUGGUUGGUCAAGGAAGAGAAGGGAGUGAGGAAUCUGAUCGUGUAAGACAGAGGAUGGCAUACGAUUAAUCAAAUAACAAGCGGUAAGAACAGCGUCCCCCCAAAAACGAAAAGGAACAUUACUAUGGAGGAGGAUAGUACGAGCUGUCUCAACAAGAUGUCGAUUCUUGUGUUCAGCUACCCCAUUUUGUUGAGGAGUAUGAGCACAAGAAGACUGAUGAAGAAUCCCAUGAUGAGAUAUAAACGAAGUAAAUGGGGCUGAAAAAUAUUCCCUGGCAUUGUCACUGCGUAACACACGAAUAGAAAUAUUGAACUGGGUUUGGAUUUCAGCAUAAAAUUUCUGGAAAAUAGAGAAUAACUCAGCUCGAUUUUUCAUUAAAAAUAACCAAGUACAUCGAGAAUAGUCAUCAAUGAAAGUGACAAAAUACUGAAAUCCUAAAGUAGACGCAAUCCGACAAGGACCCCAAACAUUAGUGUGGACAAGCUCAAAAGGAGACUUUGCCCGAUUAUUCAAACGCUUUGGGAACGAGACACGAGUAUGUUUCCCAAGCUGACAUAACUCACACGGAAGCGACGACAAAGUGGAAAAACGAGGGACCAUCUUCUGGAACUUGGAGAGACUAGGGUGGCCCAGACGAUUGUGAAUGAGGAGAGGAGCAUCAGUGGAAAUGCAAACUGCAGGAGAUGAAUCCGAGGUGAGGUGAUAGAGGCCUUGAGACUCACGUCCUAUGCCAAUCGUCUUCCCCGUACUCCGGUCCUGCAAGGUCACAAAUUUAUCAGAAAAGGUAAUAGAGCAAUUAAGAGUACGAGUGAUUUUGUUGAUGGAAAUAAGAUUAAAAGGACAUUCAGGAGUAUAAAGGACAAAAGUGAGAGGUAGAGAAGGCAGAGGAAAGGCCAAACCAAUACCUUUAGCCACAGUUUGAAAACCAUUAGCUAAGGUAACAGUAGGUAAAGCAGAGGUAGUAGUAAUAGAGGAGAAAAGAUCCUUAUUACCAGAUAAGUGAUCAGAAGCUCCAGAAUCUAGAAUCCAGGGUCCAAGAGAAGAUGUGUGGGUAAGGCAGGCAGAGGUUGGAUUUGGAGCGCUGUGUAUCAACUGGAAUAUAAGGUCCUAUUAUUACCUUUCUCGCCAAUACUAUGAGACUUGCUAGGACUGCCACAGCUCGUAAGGAUGCUGUUAACUUUCUCUGAUAAUCACUGCAAUGCUCGCUACUAGUACAAAUUUUUUUUCUUAAUGAGCUGAAAGUUGAAACUGAAACUUGUCACCUGUAAUAUCUAUGGUGUUCAGGUUCAGAUUUUGUAUAUUUCAUUAGGAUUGCAUAACACUUUUACUUUGGCAACUCAACAUACAUUUUUGGAGCCUUGAAUGAUUUACCAUGAAGGUUCACUAGAAGCUUUUGGCAUUGGGAUGCAGCAUUUUGAACAUAUAUAGUAUAGCAUUCUUUAACAAGAAAAUGCAUUUUAAUCUUCAAUUACAUAGAUCGUUAGAAAAAGAAGAUUAGUUUUAAUUUUCUUUUUUUAAAUGACUCCACUUUAUUUGAAUACAUCUGAUUCUUUGACUCAUUGAUAGGGUUGAAAUCCAGAGGCUUGAGGCCUGGAAAGCUGACCUACAGAAUAGAAUUGCUGAAGAGGUAGAGAUAUAAGUUGUUUUUCACUUUCCAGGCAUCAUCUUCGUAUAAAUUUGGUUAGGAAUAUUUCAUUUCAAUGAUAAGGUUUUGCUCUUUACAGUCUAAAGAGAAUGCAGUACUGCAAGCAAGUUUGGAAAGAAGAAAAAGGGACUUGCAUGAGCAUCGCCAAGCACUUGAGCAAGAUGUAAGGAAGAACAUAUUUUUCCUUUAUGUCAUUUAAUAAUUCAUUUUUCCAUCUUGUUGAAUAUGAUAGGAUGCCCAUUUAGUUUAGAAAAACUAACAUUCAUAUUACGUUCUUCAAUAUAUCAUAUAUAUGGCUUGAAAUGUAGCUUUACUUUGUUCUUUAAGAGUCAAUCAGAAAUUUGGUCGUGCCUUCUUUUUCCCCUGAAUUACUAUUCUUUGCAAAUUCCAUUGUAAAUUUGAUUUGAAAGAAUGUCUCGAAAUGUGUUUUGACAGGUAAACAUCCAUGUUAUGUUCUUCAAAAUAGCAAGUACAUGGCUUUAAAUAUACUCUUACUGAGUUCUUCAAGAUUUUGUCAGAAAUCUGGUUGUGCUUUUUUCCCCUUAAAUCAAUUUUCUUUACAAAAUGCCUUUGUAAAUCAAGCUGGAUGAAUGCCUAGCAAUAGUCACAAUUUUUUGUUAAAACCAAUGUACCAUUUCCUUUUCCUUUGCAUGCACAGGGACAGUGGGUGCAGUAGUUUAUUGUGGUAUCCAAGAUGAUCCUUAAGAAAAACUCAUAGUUUAGAAGUAUAGGAGGGACUCUCUCCUAAUGUUUUUUAAGUAAAGCUAGAGAAGCAAGAGCCAUUCAAGAUCCUUCCUAUGGAUAGAAUCAAAUAAUGCUUGCUAGAUUUCCACUACGAUGGAUUAUAUGAAGUGGAAAUUAAAUAUGCCCUUUUGGGGUAGUGGUUAACUUGUCAAAAUGACGUUUCUACCCCUGUUGUGAUUUAAAGAGACUUCAUUGACCUUGAAUAAUGGGUGGAUGGUGAAACUCAGACCAUGAGGCUUAUCUGAUGAGUACAUCAGAGAAUUAGAUAGAGUUCAGAUUGCUAAUGGCCUCAUGGAUGAGGAAAACAGCUUAUAUGCCCAAAAGAGAAUGAAGUUAUGGUGCUGAAAGUAUCCAUCUGUGUGCGUUAGUUCUUUUACAACUCUUAGCUCUGGCCUUUUAAGUUGGUAUCAACUUUUUAACAUGACACAUACAGGCUAUAUUUAAAUUUCUUCUUCAAAUUAGUCUUUUUCAAUGUGGGGAAAUAUAACCCCCUUAUGUCAUUCUACUGAUGCAUGGAAGCUAAGUUUAGUAGUUGGAUUUGAAAUAAACCUUUCUGAAGUUUCUUGCAGAAGUUAAUUUAAUUGUUGCAUUUUGACUAAUGGUUUUGCAGUUCUUCAAUAUAUUUCUUAAAUUUUGAUAAGGGAGAUUUCAUUGACCUAGGCCCUGACUGUACUCACAGGUGGCAAGGCUACAGGAACAAUUGCAAAAGGAGAGAGAUUUGAGGACAGCUCUGGAAGCUGGACUUAAUAUGUCUCAGGGUCCAUUACCUAUCUCAGCCACUAUUGAUGGAAAGGUUGGCCUAUCUCCACAUUUAACUAGUAUAUUAGCCCCUGAUUCUGCACCAAAAUUUAACCUUUAAAUGUGCUAAAGGUGAAGGCAGAGCUUGAGGAAGUUGCUCUUACAGAGGCAGAUGUCAUUAAUUUAAAGCAGAGGGUUGAUGAUCUUAGUGCUCAGCUUAAUCAACAAUGUGAGGUAAACUGUGGUCCUAUGCAUGAUUCAUGCAGUGAGCCCCAAAGAACACAGAACCAUCAAGCAAAACUGUAAGUCCUUAUUUACUCUUAUUCCUUGUUUUGUUACAAGUUAUUUAUGUAUGAGAUAUAUGCUUAGUGUCUACUUACCUGAAUGUGUGUGGCCAGCCCAUUUAAGCCUGUUUGGUGCAGCUAUAACUUCUGGUAAAGUAUUUUUCUGAAAAUUUCUGAACAAAAAGGAGGUUUCUGUUUAGCAUAUAACAAAAAUUUUAAGUUUGAAAUAUCUUCAUUGAUGCUAUUCUGCAAUAGCAUCCAACUACCAACUUUACUAAAGGAGCUGUUAGUUCUUAAACAUCUUUUACUUUAAGUGGUUUUGUUGUAAGUAGACACACUGUAAAACUCUUUUUAACAAUUUGAAAAGCUUUUAUGAAUUCAAACAGUUGCAUUUGAACAAAAUAUUGAUGUUUGAAAAGGGAUAAAAUGUACAGAGUGAUUUUCUUUUGGUGAAAUUACUCCCUAGGAAACAGUUUUGUACACAGGUUGAUUAUCUCUUGAAAUCUUUUGCGCUCAUUUUUUCCUUAUCUGAUUAUAGGAAGGAUAAACAGAAGGAUGUGGAAACUACAUCUACUUCACAUCUUCAUGAAAAGUCAACAAGAAAUAAGGUAUAUCUUGAAUUGCUACUAAUUUCAUUAAUUUUCAAUGUUGAGACAUCCAUGAAAUUUGGACAAGUAAAACCAUCUUUGAACAGGCUAAUAAAAAAUGGUUGAAUUUCAGAGUAUCUUGAAUCUAAAUUACAGCCUGAAACAUCAGAGAUUCAUUGAAACCUGAAAAUCUGGGGUGAGUUUUGGAUUGGGUCUGGCUGAUGGAUCGUCCUAGUUAACCCUUCCUGUUUAUGAAGUAGCCAAUACUCUGGUUUCAACUUCAACUCACAACCAACCAAGUGGUGUCUUUGCUUUAGAAAUUAAAUUGACAAUUUCCCCUUUGUUAAUGAAGUCUAUAUCUAUAAAUAAAAAAUAAAGAAAAAAAAAAUUCUUGUUUAAGCAUUUCUUUUGCAUGUAAAGUUCAUAAUGAUUUAAAUACAGUAGACAGAAUCAUUCAUAGGGAUAUAUGUAUUUAACGUUAUGCACUGUCUCCAAAACCCAUAAUUUACAUGGCAAUGUUUUUUGCUAACCUAACCCAAUGUUCAUGUGAUAAACUCCUUCCUUUUUAUGAGCAACUUGCAAGAUUCAGAGAACACUUGUUAUUCUUGUUUUGUUUUUUUCUUUCUGUCUCUCUUCUUUUCUCUUCUUUUUUUUCUCUUUUUGAAUGGGUUCCUUAAGGCCCCUUAAAACCACACGAGAUGUCCUCAAACAGUAAAUGAGCCAAAUUCAACUAAGAACUUGGCAUUUCUCAAGAACUUAACCUUGAGUUUGACUUCUUUAGUGGAUGGCCACUACCUGUAGAUAGUAGGUUAUGGCUUAAUUUGCUAAUGUAGUAAGUGUAUAGAGAACCGUUUGAAAGACUUAACUAUAGGGAAGAUUGCCUUUUUCUAGGUGCAACAGGAUGCUUGUAUGGAUGGAGCAGACCGUGAGAACAAGAAACAUGAAAGCAAAAAUCCUCUUCAGAACCAGCAGCUGGACCCAGUACGUAGCAGCUGCAGCUCCAAGUUUGUUGGUGCUCAGGCCACUUCAUCUGCUGCAGACCCUGCAGUAGGCAGGUCCAAUAGUCAUUCCAAUUCGAAGAAGUCGGGUACAAGGAAUGAGGUAGGCUUCAUUUUUCUAUUGGAAUAAGUAUACAUCUGCCUUAUGCUUCAGCCGAAUACAAAUCCAACACUGUAAAAACCUCUUGGACUACUCUGGGGUUUGGGGUACACAAGGCUCCUCCAAAGUGUUACUGUGCCUAAUUGCUUUCAGGUGUAGAUCAUUGGCUUGUGAUUAGCUCCAAAAGGUAGGUGGGAUUAACAUUUCUUCUCUCCAGGGAUCCAAUUCUACAACUUCUGCACUGUCCAAGCUGACAACCCGACUCAACUUCUUAAAGGAGAGGCGUACUCAGAUAGCAAAUGAGAUCCAAAAUAUGGACAAAGGCAGAAGUUCAAGUUCAUGUUCAAGUUCAAAUCAAGCUGCUCAAAACCCGGAAAGGGGCAGAGGAUCUGAAGGUCGCCAACCAGUCCAAAAUAUGGACAAGUCUCAAGCCUCUGAAGUUCAAUCCCUCCAAAAUACGGAGAAAGGUAAGGGACCGGACUGCAGCCAAUCUCUCCAAAAUCAGGACAAGCCUAGGAAAUCAGAUGCUCAACCACAGCAAAAACCAGGAUAGAGCCUUGGUGGACCAAGUUCAGAGGCCCGAGCUCAGGAUUCUCGCAGACAAAUCCAUUUUGCCUGAGUUGAUUUUCUUUGUUUAUUUGGAGAAAAAUAUAAAAAAAAAAAUUUAAUUGAAAAAAGAAAAAGAAAAGCUAAAGGUCUAAUUUCACCAUCCUUCUCUUGCUAUGAUUGAAGUUGAUCUAAAUCCAAAAAUAAAAUGCAAACUUAAAAGCAAAAGUGAAAAAAAGAAAGAAGCAUGAUAAUCUAACCUUCCAUUCUUAAAACUCAAUAGUUUUUCAACAAAUUAAAAAUAUAUCUUGCUUAUUUUAUAAAAUUAUUACACGAAUUAGAUGAGUGUACCAUGAUUGAGCUGCACGUGUAAAACACUUGACGUUACAAUUUAAAAAGAACUUUUAGGAGAAGGAAACAAAAACCUGCUCCUUAUUUUGAAUCUUGCCAUUUUGUUUGAUUCUUUCUUUGUAUUUUAUGCUUAAUCGUGGUUAUAGAUAGGAUUUGCGCACAUAAAAGCCACUGUGAGCUUGUAUCUAUAUUACUUUUCCAAAUAAAAAGUAUUAAGAAAAAAAUAAAGGCAAUAUGAUCGUUUAUUUCUUACUCCCAAUCCUCGGUUGCAGACAACCUUUCAAAGAACAAGCAAACUUCAUUUGGAAUAUGGAACAAACUGUUCUCCACAGUCGGCUUUUUAAAAUGCCUCUCAUCGGCUCUAGGAAUUAGAUAAAGUUUAUAAAAUUGAUUAAGGAGAGGCAUGACCAGAUAGCCCCGCCCCUGGAUGUUGUUCGAAAGCUUCUCCACAAAGGUCAAAGGAAGGGUCCAACUGAUCCCAAAAGAACAAUUUUUUAGGCUUUUUUAUCACUCCGUUCCUUUGACAAAGAAGCUUCGGUUAGGGGAAAAAGUUGAGGGUACAACCACACCUAAAAGGCCAAAACGAUGAAGUAUUCCAUCACCACUACAGAAAAAUAUAAAUGAUGGAACAAUAAAAAAUGGUAUCUUUGUCUAAUUGAAUACCACUAGGCCAUAGUAGGAAAGAACGAUUCAGCGCAGUAAGGCUCAGAAAGGGGAAAAAACUACGAACCCAACUCCAUAUAUGCCAACCAAAAGCUUCCUGCAGUAUUCUCACGCCAAACUUCACACAAAGAUAUGAUUCAUUGUAACUUGUAAGCAGAGAAUUGACUAGAUUUUCAAAGAAGGUGGAUGAUAUUAUUAGAUUACUAACUCUCAAUUUCCAAAAAUAAAAAAAAAAUACAAAAUUUUAAAUAUAAAUCGUAAAAGUAGUUGUAAUUUGGGAGUGAUAAUUGUUCGUCAUCAUCAGAGUUAGAAGUCCUUGAGAAUCUUCCUGACCUGCUCAAGGGUCACAAACAACACAACAGUGAAAGGUCCCUGCCUCG
rnacentral:lncRNA from 1 species